rnacentral:lncRNA from 1 species
AACCUCCUAAUUAAAGGUGGAAUGGCCUGUUACUAGUUGGUUUGUGUGAACGGUGUGUGCCACAAACAAUAACGUCCAUUAAUUCGUGCCACAGCAGUUUAAACGUGAAACGGAGGAGGUCGGGGAAGAAGUGGCGGCGGAUUUUUCUGUCAGAAUUUAACAAACUAAUUUCAAGCACCUGUGUGUGUGUGUACACAUACACAUGUGUGUGUAUGUAUACGUCUAAAUGUAUGUGGUAGGGCGUAUGUGACUAGUGGCUGUCAUUGUUGGUGAUUAACUGCCGGAAUUGAAAGUUGUUUGUGAAAUAAUGAAUCUCUCUCUCUCUCUCUCUCUCUCUCUCUCUCUCUCUAUAUAUAUAUAUAUAUAUAUAUAUAUAUAUAUAUAUAUAUAUAUCUUCUAUCUUUCUAAAUGUGUGUAUGUGUAUAUAUAUAUAUAUGUAUGUAUACAUGUACGAUAUUUUUCUCUUACUGUUUAAUCUUUGUUUCUGUAACCUUUUAUUUUCCCAUUUUAUGGGAAAGGAAAGGGUGACAGAAGCAGGGGCAAAAAUCAGGUACGAGGCAAGGGCACACGCACGCACACACACAUAUUUUUCGUGUGUGUGUGUGAAGAACAAAUAUUUAUAUAUAAUUAUUAACGUCACUGUUUUAAUGUCCACUUUUCCAUGUUUGCAUGGAGCAGACGAAAUUCAUUGGCGCAAUUUUUUUUAACGACCGGAUGCCUUUUCUGUUGCCGAUGUUCACCUGUUUCCAAUAUCUAAAUCACUUCAUUCCCUGUGUACGCUUGGUAAGACAUUCCUGAAGGACUGCUGCACUCUGAUGCACAGCAGUGUAUUACUUCUUCAGAUACAUAUACAACGUGGAUGUCACUCCCUCUGUGACCUCUGUAGAACUCGCAGAGCUGGCCUUGGAUUUUUCUCGUCCAUCAUCAUUAGCUCCAUCAUUCAAUAUGCUGAUCACUCUAUGGAUAGCCAGUAUAUGAUGCUGUAACCCAUCUAAUGAAGCAUUAUUCUGAGAUUUAACAUCAGUCGCCCUUCCCAUCCCCUAUUAAAAUGUACAGAGCGCAUCAGGUAACUUCACAUAAAUCUCACCUCCAGUUUGAAUAGUUGUACUUGGAUGUCUCCACUCAUACAAUAACACAGAUCUACUGCACCAACUCCAGCCUGGCCUGACCAUAACAACAUGUUUUAGCAGAGCACCACCUCCUUUGGACAGGUACACUCUCUUUCAGCUAUGGUUUAGCUUAUUCUAUGAUCUCUCUCCUAUGAAUUAGUGCCUGAUCUUCCAGCCUCUACCCUAAUCUCUCUAUAGUUACUCACCUAAACCCUCACUCCAUCGUGGUGAAAUAACCCUUGCAAAUGGUGUAUCACAUCUUCCACCGACUGCUUCCAAUUGCUUCUCAUUCGAAUCUCUUCCCUCUCAUGCACACCUGCUGUGGGGUCUGUUGCCUAACACACCUGUCACAGCUUCUAAUCCCCUUCCAAAACAUUCUCCCUAAUGACACCAGAAUCAAUCGUUCUGGCCACCCCAUAUGAAGCAUAUUGUGGUUCCUCUCUAACUGCUGGUCCCUUGAGUACUACACUGCAGUCACUUGCCUCUCUAAAUCUUCUGGUACUUCCAUUGAGGUUUUCCUCACCCUAGCAAGACAUCUUCUUUAUUUUUCCCUGAGGGUACAAUAACUAUUCACAGCUGCAAGUCAGAUUCCUUGAUCAACUCCCUUAGGGUCUCCAGAUGUCACUUUACUAUCAUUUCUGCCACCUUCUUUGUUCAAAUUCUCUUUUUACAAGUAAUUGUUGAUCCCAUCCACCCAAGCACAGUCACUGAAUCAGUUCAGAUUAGGACAUCUCACAACUAUAUUUGUUCUUUUCACCAUGGCAUCCAGUUUGGCCCCAUUGAUAUGGUUGCAUUUGUCUUUCUUUCUAAGUCAGCCUCUAUCCUCUGCCUUCCACUUCACCUAUUUCCAAGACAAUUCCCUCCCAUUGAUGUGCUACUAGCAUCACACCACCCAACACUCCUUUCAGACUCGAUACAUUUCAAUUUCCUCUCACUAGAUUUUCCUUUUUCACCCUCUCCUAGAUAUCCUUCAUUGUUGCAAUUGUCUUCUCUCCAACUUUCUCUCACCAGCCUACUCCACCUGAUCCCCUCUUUACAUAUCUACAUGCAGUUCAUAGUCACCCAGUGAUAGGGUAGUGGCCCACCAAUCACCUGCAUAUUGUAAACAGCUCUUGAUGACUUAGAUUUCCAUUUCCUCUCUGAAACACUAGCUCACCUCCUUACCUGUCUUUCCUCAGCCUCAGUCCCAAUACCACCCUUCCUACCAAAGAUUCUGCUAGUUUUGCUGCCACCCCAAACUUCUUUAGAUGACCCACAACUUUUGUUGCUGUCACCACCAUCUUGUUCAUCAAUAGGAUUCUCUAUAGGAUUUAGUGGCACCUUUCAUUUUAACUCUCCCAAUAUCACCCUGAAGAUUGUUGCCAUGAUCUUUGGCUCUCAGUUCAGUCUAAAUCUCAACUUGUACUUCACCUGCUGAUAAAUGUUUUGGCUACAUGAUGUGGUAGAUAGGCUGACUUCAAAUCUACACCCAUAGAAGCUACCACCAUCUGUCUCCAUUCAUUUAUGGCCUCUUCACCAGUAUUACAUGUUAUAUGGUCAUUCAGCUCCCACAAAUCCUACACUGGCCUGACUUUAUUCUUUAUUCGUUGAACAACUGCUAUUAGUGGCAGCUCCCAAUUCUCCACUUCUUCUUCCCAAGACAUUAGAAUACCUUCCUUAAUCCACCUCUCUGCCUCCUUCUCAAAUUUGGCUCUCACCCCCACUUUUAAAAUGUCUUUAUAGUAGCUUGCUUCAUUCUUCAAUACUAGAGAGGCUCACCAUUCCUGAAGCAUUUGACUGUCUAUUGCUUGCCACCAAACACAGUUUGGAAACCCUUGUCCUUAAUCUUACAAGGAACAUCCACUGCUCCUUGGAUUAUUUUGACAAGAGCUCUGACUCUUCUACAGUAUAUUCACAGCACAUCAUGCCCCUUCAAACUCUACCCUUUCCUCACUGACCAGAAUUUUUGCUAACCUGAUCGUAUCCAUCUCCAAUCCAAUAUGUUGGUGUAUCAGAACCCUCUAACUAUCAAUUGCUUUCCAUAUACCAUCAACUCAUCAGCACUGGAACCCUUAAAAGGAACUUUCUUCCCAUCAAAUGCUCACCACACCCCAGCUAUCUAUCAGACUUGAAGUCACUUGAAGGUGGUUCUGCAGCCUCUAUCAUCCUCUAUCAUCUGCUGCUUUUAUCAGAUAUUCCACCAAAGGCAACAAAUGGUGUACCCCCACUUGACAGGAUAGCUGCCAGCAUCCUUCAUUUUCCUGAUUCAAGGUUAUCACUAUAUGACCAGUCAUCUAGUUACAUCAAUACCAGAGCAAUUCCAAUUUGGGCUCCUUGCCACUUCUGACCAUGUGCAGCCAACAACAUCUGAACCCUUACCUUUGAAUUGUUACACUCACUCCUUUUUCUCUUCCAACCCCUUACUGCUUUCAUCUUGCCAUCUCAUUGCACUUUGACCUACUGUAGCUGCUGCCACAUCAUUAGCUCAGGUCUCUAAAUCCCCUGUAGCCAUGGUCUCAAAGUCUGGCAACUACUAUAGUCCUAUCAAAAUAUGAUCAAGGAAACCUGUCAUAAAUGCCAGCCUAACUGUCCUCUCCAGCCCUUUUCCAGAGUAUCCAGCCAGUUCCACUAACCUUCUGACCUUAUUGAACACACCUACCUGUUUCCCAGCCCAUCUCACUCUUCCCAGCCUGUCAUUGGCCACAAAUGUUCCCUUAAUAAAAUUUCCUUUUAAUUGGCAUCUAUUUCCCCCCACAUCUACCUGGGUUUCUUCAUUCAUAUCUGGAUGCAGUCACAAUACUGGUUUCUCUAAAUCACUGAUUCCCUGUAGUUGCACAAUCGACCUAACCUUCUCCCCCCAUAUCACUUCAUCUCUUUCUCUCUCUCCCCCCUCUAAAUGGUCUUAUCACCUUGCACAUGCUCAUGUAGUUGUGAGCUGAAUAAGCUUGUAAGGAGGAUUAGGUGAACAGAGAAAAACAACUCAAGGCAUCAAGCGACAUCACAGAAGGAAGAAGUUUGUUCCAUGUGCAGAUUGUUUCUUACACACUCCUUGUUCUCCCCAUCUGCACUAACUACUGACACCUGGUUCUGUUAAAAAAAAAUGGAAGGACCCCUACACGUGGCUGACUUUGCCUUCAUUCCCACCACAUCACCUACUAUCUUAGUUUAUAACAUCACACACACACAUCAUAACUUCUAAACACUACCCUUGUGUCGAAGUACCUUUUGCCAAGAGUGGAUUGUUUUUCUGAGUAACACUGCAUAUCACUCAUCUGUGUAUGGUCGUUUGUCAUUUCCUAGCCAAUGCAGAUCAGUCUUCAUCACUUUGACCCAGGAAAAGGAGACUAAGUCUUUCUUAGUCUCCCUCUUCUGUAGAUUCCACUGACUUGAAGUACUUGGUACUUCCUUACACAGCAGUCAUCCUCUAUACAUAUCACAGACCCAGCACAGCCUCCUCUCUUUUGCACACCUCAUUCCUCUUGUACUCAGUUUUUCUCUUACCUUAUUUGUACUGUGGUAUUCAUGCCCACUAACAUUACACAUCAACUGCAGCAUGCUGUCUUCAUAUCUGUCAAGUUCUCACAAAAGUCUGCAUUCAAGGCUCAUGUCUUGCUUUCAUGCAGUAUUGCAGUUUUAACACAAGUAUCUUGCAAUCUGCCUUUCACUCUGAGGGCAAGACCUUUAUUGCUUGCAGUGGUAGGAGCUCAGUGAACUUUUUCCAACCCAUUCUCACCUUGGUUACUACAUUUUCUGGACCACCGCCACUGCUAAUCAUGUCUUCUAGGUAACAGAAGCUAUUGAUAACUUAUACUGAGUCAGCCAAGCAUUUAAGAGAACCCCUAUCCUAUGGACUCAUAGUAUGCAACACUCCAGCUCUUGAUCAUUGUGUCCAACACCCCAGUGCAGGUGAUGGGUUUGACCCUGAAACCCUAUGAGAAGUGAGGUGAAAUCACAUAGGUACAUGUCCCAUCUUAUUUGAAAUAAAUCUUCCUUUCAUUCCCAAAUACUUCAAAUGUGAGGUAGGAUGGAUUUUUGCUGUAAAUUCCAUUGAAUGGCAUCAGCCACAUUGCUGUCAAAGACAACUGGUUGAAUUAUCCAAUUAAACUUAAUGCUAAUGAUGUACACUCUACUACAACCCAUGUUAUGUUCACAGAAACAUUCUCAGUUGUUCAGUUAAGUGCACUUGCGGUGAUCAACAGAACCAUUUAACUUAAAUGCAGCCUCGUUGCACUAAAAUCAAUUUUGUUUGAAACCACAUCCUCUGUACUGUGUGUGCCUGCUACCAUUGUGAAAUUCAACUCUUUUGGUUGGAAUCUUCUUUGUUGUAACCAUAGACUAAUGUUGGAAUAAGGCUUUUUUUAAUGGAAACACUUCAGAUGCCUUGAAAGAAAGGUGAAGUGAAAAGGUGGUGGUAGAAGAUACACUUGUCCAAAAUUAUUCUUUGUUAUGUGGAUGGCAUGGUGUAGUGAAUAGGAAAGAGAGAGAAAAUGUAUGAUGGGAACAGCAAAUGGAGGCUUCACAAGGCUGAAUUAAGCAAGAGAUGCGAUUCUAGAUAUUUACACCUCCCAUCUUGUGUCACAACCAAAAUUACAAUGCUUCAUUCACCAUGCUUGCUCGGGUGGAAUGGGUUUUCUCAAGCAUUGCAUAUUACCAGUCAUCAUGGUCGUUUGGUAUCUUCUUUGUGAGGCUCACCAUCAUGGUACUGGUCUUCACCAUUUUGUUUCAUGUUUUCCUGGCUCUUCUUUCAAACUUCCAUUCACUUUGUGUGUUCUACACUGCUUUCUACAGUUGUCAUUCCUUCCCCACCCCCAUAUACACCACAUGCUCACAUCAGUGCAAUCUUCUCUCUCGUACACUUAGAACCUUAAAUCUCUUAUAUCUAGUUUUUUUUCUCCUCUCAACUCAUCUGUGUUACAUCAUUCAUUCAUACUGACAUUCCACAUCCAGUAAGCCAUACUAACUUCAUUGCUUUCUAGUUUUCACAAGUUUUUCUACAUUCAAAACCCAUGUCUUGUUGUCAUGAAGCAUUACAGUUCAUACACAAGCAUCAUACAAUCUGCCCUUCACGUUGAGGAGAAACCCUUUCCAACAGAAGUAACAGCUCCUUGAACUUUUUCCUUUACAGAUUAUCAACCUCGUCCUCCUCCUCCUCUAUUUCAACUAGACCAUCUCUAAAUCUAUGUCUAACGCAGCAAUCUUUCCUUUCCCAAUCCUUUCUGUGUUGUGUCCCUGAGGCUGUCUAGCUCUUACUCUGAUUACUGUGUUUCGAUACACCCACCACCACCACCACUGUGAAUUAGGUCACCUAGGUAACCAAAUUCACCAACUACUUCUAGGGUACCCCCAUCCAUGUCACUUAGGUAACAGAAGUUAUCUAUAAAGAGAUUCUCCUCUGCAUUCAGGACUAUCUCUUUCUUAUGCAGUCUUAAGUUUAUGGCUCCAGCACAUCUGCUGCAUACAAAAUUUACUUUGUUAACCUACCUGUGAUUCCUUUGUACCUCUUGUAUGUCCAUAGUUUGCAUUGGGUACAUCACGUAGAAUUUCUACCUACUCUUCCUUUUCUACAUAUUGAGCAAGGGCAACUUUGAAGCUCUUUAAUUCAGAUUUUGCUUCCAUGCCUGAAAUUUCUUCCCUAAUCUAAUCCUACAACAGAUUCAUCUAUAAGAAUGAGGUCAUCAGUAUAUAAGAGUUCCCACAGAUACCCAAUCUUAAACUCCUCUGUUCUGGACAACAGUGAUAAAUAGAAGAGGACUGAGCACUGAACCUUGGAGGAUUCCUACCUUCACACUAAAAUCAUUAUUGCAUUAAUUACUAAUUCUGACUUAGCUGACAGCUCUGUACAUGGCUUGUACGGCUCUUAUAAGCUAUUCAUCUACUCCUAGCUUCCACAGCAAAUACCACAUCGCAGAAUAAAGGACCCUGACAAAGGCUUUCACCAGGUUCACAAAAACCAAGAAUGGUGGCUUACUCUUAGUUAAGUACUUCUGCAGUUGUCUCACUAGGAAUAUGGCAUCAGUGCUAUUUCUUCCUAACCAAACUGCAUUUCAUCUAGGCUAACUCUCUACCCAAUCAGCUGAGCUAUGACUUUCUUGGCCUGGUCUAACAAUUUGACAUCCUUGAAAAUACCUCUCCUUGUUCAUACACAGGCAUCAUACAGUCUGCCUUUCACUCUGAGCAAGAGGCCCUUUGUUCACCUUCCACGCACAAAAACUAUUUUCCUUAUUAACUUUCCUCUGAUAUUGCUGUGCCUCUUAUGUGUCCAAAGCUUACACCAGGUGCAUCUUUUGGAGUUUCUAUCUACGCCAUUCCUACAGAUUGAGUAGGGCCAUCUAUCUGAAGGGAUUUGUGAUUUGUCUGCUUUCCUACUCUGGUUUUUGCUAAGUUAACUCUAAGGCCCUUCGAUUCAAGACCUUAUUCCACACCUGAAACCUCUCUAGUUCUGGUAGUGAUUCAGCUAUAAGAACAAGGUCAUCAGCAUAGAGGAGCUCCCAGGGGCAGCCUGUCUUGAAUUCCUCUGUUAUUGCCAGGAGGACUAUGAUGAACAAAAGAGGGCUGAGGACUGAUCCUUGGUGAAACCCUACUUGUAUCCUGAAUUCUUUACUAUACUCAUUGCCAACCCUUACCUUACUGACAGCAUCCCUGUACAUGGCUUGUACAGUUCUCACCAACCACUCAUUUAUUCUUAUAGAUAUUUAUAUAUUUACAGAACAACUUUACAUGGCAUAAAAAAUUCCGGAAACUAGGGAAGAGGGCAUGGUAUUUCAGGGCUAACAGCUGUUUCGAGGGGGGGGAUCUUAGAAUUACAAAAUAGUUGUAAUAUUGGCAGAUGGAUUGUGCAAAAUGUCAAGGAUCAGCAACCAGAAAUGGAUGCAUAUAAACAUUACUAUAAAUCCAGCCUUCGUCUUCAGAGUGGAAAGAUAGGCAACUACACACAGAUAGGGGCUACACACAGAGAGGGACAAACAAGGACAGACAGACGGAUUAAGUCGAUUAUAUUGACCCCAAUGCGUAACUGGUACUUAAUUUAUCGACCCCGAAAGGAUGAAAGGCAAAGUCGACCUCAGAACGUAACAGCAGACGAAAUACGGCUAAGCAUUUCGCCCGGCGUGCUAACGAUUCUGCCAAGCUCGCCGCCUUUAACUAGAAAUAGCCUUCUCUCCUAGUUUUCUGUAUGUUUUGCACUCCAUGUAAAUCUGCUCUGUAAAUAUAUAAAUAUCUUUUGGCUUAUACAUGAACGUUCAUCUUCCGAAUAUUUUCAGUUUUUGUUUCUCUCUCUCUAUAUAUAUAUAUUUACAUAAGGGCCUCUCACUCAGGGUGAAAGGUAGACUGUUUGAUGCAUGUGUGCAAACUGCCAUGCUACACAGCAGUGAAACAUGGGCCAUGAAUGCUGAGGACAUGCAUAGGCUUGAUAGAAAUGAAGGUAAUAUGAUCUGCUGGUGGAGGCGCAAUGGCCCAGUGGUUAGGGCAGCGGACUCACAGUCGGAGGAUCGUGGUUUCAAUUCCUAGACCAGGAGUUGUGUGUGUUUAUUGAGUGAAAACACCUAAAGCUGCACGAGGCUCCGGCAGGGGGUAGUGGCGACCCCUGUUGUACUCUUUCGCUCCCCAACUUUCUCUCACUCUUUCUUCCUGUUUCUUGAAUAAUGCUGCGAUGGACCUGCGCCCUGUCCAGCUGGGGGAACACAUACGCCACAGAAACCAGGAAACCGAGCCCAUGAGCCUGGCUAGGUUUGAAAAGGGCGCAUAAAUAAAAAAUGAUCCGCUGGAUAUGUAAUGUUAGUGUGCAUACAUGACAGAGUGUAAGCGCCCUGAGAGAAAAGUUGGGCAUAAGAAGCAUAAAAUGUGGUGCGCAAGAGAGGCAACUGCAUUAGAUGGCCAUGUGUUAGAUAUGAAUAAAGACGUCUGUGUGAGGAAGUAUCACUCUGUAACGUCAAAAGGAACCUGUGGAAGAGGUAGACCAAGGAAGACAUGUGAUGAGGUGACGAAGCAUGACCUUCGAACGUUAAUUAACAAUUAAUGGGCUUAGGCUCAGCUCUGCAUAUACCUUUUACUCUUCUUUCUACAAAGAGAACUUCAUAGAAAUUGCUAUUUAAAUCAAUCUCGCGUGUGUGUGUGUGUGUGUAUAAACACAUUUACAUAAUAAUACAUGGUUAUUUUUCAUAUUACUUGUAUGUUUACGCUUUGAAAAGUUAAUGGAAGACUAUUGGUUUUUACACUUGCUAUAUAUUCUUUCUAUUAAUUAGCAACAUAUCACCUAUCUGUCUAUCUAUAUAUCUUUGUAUGUAUGUGUAUGUAUAUAUUUAUUAUAUAGAAGGAGCUUCUACAGGACUAGUACUGUUUCAUUCAAGAGAAAUCUUCAGGAAGCUUCCUGAAGAUUUCUCUUGAAUGAAACAGUACUAGUCCUGUAGAAGCUCCUUCUAUAUAAUAAAUUAAUUUUACUCUGCUAUGUAUUGAGUACCUUACUUACUGUGGUUAACCCCGAAUCAACCCGGGACCUACAUAUGUAUAUAUAUAUAUAUAUAUAUAUAUAUAUAUACAAAACACUAUAACUGAAACACGCACACAUGCAUAUAUUGUAUUUCUCUAUAUUGUAUAUAUAUAUAUAUGCAUGCAUGCAUGCGUGUUUCAAUUGUAGUAUUUUGUGUGGUUGCUGCUGCUGCUGCUAGGUGAUGUGUCACUCAACCACAUGACCACAGCAUCCACACCACAAAUGUCUUCUUUUACAACUACUUCCUAUUUUAACUUCCCCCCUCUCUCUCUGAAUCAUCAACAACAUGUCAACAUUUUCACUGUUGAAAAUAUUCUAGAAACAGAUUAAAUAUGUCGAGGUUGUAAUUUUAGUAUGUGUUGGUCAAAUUAUAUCGAAGUCGUGUUUCAAUUAUUUACUAUCAGACUCACAUUUUCCCGGUGCAAGCAGACCCAGAGAACCAGUCAACGUUCUCUGGAACCUCUUUAUCAAAAUAUCUGAUUCUUCCUCAUCAGCUCAAAUAAUUGCCUUCAAUGUAAACAAGCAGCAAGCUCUCAACUAUAACUCUCUCUCUCUCUCUCUCUCUCUCUCUCUCUCUCUCUCUCUCUCUCUCUCUCUCUCUCUAUCUAUCUAUCUAUCUCCCCCUCUCUCUCUAUUCCCCCGCUCUUCCUCUCUCUCUCACUGACACACUCUUUCUAUGAAUUUAAUAUUCGCAAGAAAUUUGUGGUUUAUAUCUGUUUGUGUACGUAUAUAUAUAUACGUAUAUAUAUAUAUAUAUAUAUAUAUAUAUAUAUAUAUAUAUACACGUAUAUUAUUCUUUAACAAGAAUAGUAUUGACAGUGACUUCGAAGUUUUAGCUAGCUAAACCGUCAUUGGACUAGAAUAUAUGUAGAGAUAAACUUAACAUCGUUGAACUGUCCGAUUAUUCUUGCUAAUAAUAAAUUUGUACUCUGCCAGAUGUAUUGAAUAAUCCUUCAGCGUAAUAUAAAAUGGUUUUUAUUAAAACAUAAAACAAAUAUUAACAUAUAUAUAUAUAUAUAUAUAUAUAUAUAUAUAUAUAUAUAUAUAUAUACUAGCAGUAUCGCCCGGCGUUGCUCGGGUUUGUAAGGGAAAUAACUAUAUAAGCAUUUUUAGAGAGUUACUUCUCUUAUAGAUGCCUAUUUGGGCUUUCUUAGCCAUUUCUGUUUUGGUGUCUUCAAGCCAUGAAGUCGUUGUUCUAAAAGAACGCUGGUCUCCGUGACAACGCUUUACGACGUUAAUUUCCUUACACUCCCUUCCCCACAGCUUCACGAGGGAGGGAAGAAGGGGGAGAAGCAAACAGGUGCAGGUGUGACCAUGGUCGCCAACUCCGCCGCCAUCGACACACGAAAAAUUAUGCAUUAAAAUGGAAUAAAAAAUGAUGUUAAAUUAUUUUUAAAAUCGUAGACUCAUCGUAGACGCGCGCUAAUACCCAGACGGGCUCGAUAUGAAUCACGACUAUAAGAUACCCGAAUUUGGUUAAACUGCACUGCAAAAUGUGGGAGUAGUUAGGAAUCUAAAUCGAAGGAGACAGACACUCACACAACUACAGUUUUAUAUAUAUAGAUAUAUAAUGUGUAAAGGUAAGAUCCAAGGAUCAAGAUGUAGGAAGUUAGUAAGCUUCAAGCAAUAUAUAAUAUGUAUAUAUAUAUAUAUAUAUAUUGUUAUUAUUAUUAUUAUAUAUACUAGAAGUAAGAGCUAAGAAGCUCUAAUGCUGUAGUUAAAGCACAUAAUUGUAUACACAUGUACUGACAGGGACUGUAAUCGCCCGAAAGCACUGGUUGAGAAUUCCCUAUACUGAUUGGUCAAUUUCAGUUAAUUUUGUUGCCUCUUCAGUAGGGAUCUCUCACUUUCGUGCUUAGCAGUCGUUUGCGGCAAGACACAUUUUUUUUCUCUCCUAACACGCCAGCUCAAAGUUUACUCGUCCUGUCAAAAGAUGUCUGUCUGUGAUGUCCUGUUUUUGUUAUUAUUAUUAUCAUUAUUGUUUUUACGUAUUUUUGUAUUCUUAUUCGUGUAACACCGUCCGUUUUUCCGUCCUUGUUUUGUAUACAUUCGAGGCUUUCUUCCGAGGUAUCUAAUGCACUUGGCUUAGAUUUUCCUUUGGGGCUGGCCAGAUCGGAGCAAUCUCAAGAUUAAUCAGCCGAAAUUGCGAGGAUGAUCCGGUUCUUGACUGAAGAUCGAAGGCUUCGAAUGUCCCGUCUGUGUUUUUUGUAUCGUUUUCUAAAUGUUUUGCGUUCUUGUCCCAGUUUGUAUUUUUAUAUAUAUAUAUAUAUAUAUAUAUAUCUUUAUAUAUAUAUAAAACUGAGAAUGUGUGUCUGUCUGUCUGUCUGUCUAUCUGUCAGUGUGUUUCCCUAAAACUUGAGAACUACACAACCAAUUUCAUUCAAAUUUUACACAUGCCUUACUUAGGGUCUGGGGAGUGUCAUCGGCAAAAAAAAAUGUUCAACUUCUUGCCUAGAGCAAUCCCAUAGCAAUAUCAUAUCUUCUCCACUAUUUCAGUAUUAUGUGUUAAAAGUGAAACAAAAACAUUUCUCUAUUUUAUGUCAGAUACUUUCACUUUAACAAUAAAAAUAAUAAUAACAAUUGAAUUAUAUGUAGUAAGUAAUAAUUAAAAUCAAACUAAAGUAACAUGACAAAAGUAAAAAUAGCAAUUGGUAUAAAAUUGCAUCAAUGAUUUGAACUUGAAUAAGUGGUUUCACAUGAAUGGGAAUAAAUUAAAAAUAAAAUUAGUGUGCAGAAAUGGAAUAGUCCAGAUGGAUAAUAAAAAAUUAGAUUAAAGAAAAGAUUAUUGUCUAUAAAGUAUACAAUAUAGAGAAAAAAGAAGAUUUGAACGCAUGGAGGAAAGCACCUUUGAAAAGUGUCUUGGUGCGACUAUGAAAGGUAUCUAAUCAGAGGCGGUAAAUUCGCCACAAUAGAAGCAAGGUUUGAGUCAACAGAGCGUGCAAGGGAGUACUCGACUCGAACUUGCAAAGUGGAAAUAUUUUAUUUUUACCUUUAUAUCUGGGACAUAGGACGUCCCGGAAAAAAAUUUUAAAUGCCCCCCCCCCCCCAGAAGUAGAGGUAGGCUGGAUUGUAGCCACACUUCUAUACAAGAGGGAGGACAAGAUACAAUUGAUCGAAAUUACAAGAGACGGGCUAACAAUUCCAGUCUGUUAUAUAUUUUGAGUAUUGUUAUCACUAGCAAUAUCAAGAUAUAACUUUGUAUUUUGUAUUUUAUGUGUAGAUGUGUACAUGUAAUAUGUACACAUAUAUAUACACAUAUAUACAUGCACUAGCACUAUGACCCGGCAACGACGGGUCUUUAAUGCUAGUAUAUAUAUAAUGGAUAAAAAUUUAGCUAGGUGUUAAAUAACCACCUAAAUAAUAUUAAAUAUCCAAAGAAUUUACUGGGGUUUUUUUUUACCUAUAUAAAUAAUGUUAUGAGCGAUAGUUCAAAUAGGCAAAUAAAUAAAUAAAAUAAAUAUACAGUUUAUCAAUAUAUAAAUAUAAAUUAGAAAUCAUUUAAUGAUAAAAUUAUUAUUUUGGUUUCCAUUUCUAAUUUAUAUAUAUAUAAACCAACCUUACUUGGACUUGUACCUCAAAGGGGAACUUUCUGUGUGCAAUCCCAUGGUCAUUACCCUUUAUAUAUAUAUAUAUGGAUAUCAUCAUCAUCAUCAUUUAAUACCUGUUUCCCAUGCUGGCAUGGGUUAGAUCAUUUAACUGGAACUGGUAAGGCCAGGGGUCGCACUAGGUUCCAUAGUCUGUUUUGGCUUGGUUUCCACUGCUGGAUGCUCUGCCUAAUGCUAACCACUUUACAGAGUAUACUGGGUGCUUUUUAUAUAGCACUGGUAUGAAUUCUGUUGUGGUGGACAGGUGUUCUUGAGUACAACAAGGCACCAAAUAUUUCAGUGCCUUGAGAUCAGCCUUCAACGCUUCAUCCCAUGUUUUCCUGGUUCUUCCUCUUCCAUAAGUUCCACCUACUUUAAGUGAAUUAGCACUUCUUUAUGCGACUGUCCUCAACCAUCUGCAUGACAUAACCAAAACCAGCAGACUGGUACAGGUUGUAGUAUGAAUUGAAAUUACAAUUACAUUUUCAAUUUCUUUCAGUCGCAUAGAGCCUCCGUGGGUACACAACUGCUGUGGGGAGUGGGAGCAGAGAAGAGAGAAGUUUUUUUCAUUAUUAUUAAGGCAACAAUUAGUUUCCAAUAAUGCAGGAGUAGCUACAGAGACCAUGUUAAAUUAUCAUCAGCAUUACAAUGUUAAAUUAUCAUCAGCAUUACAAUGUUGACACUUAUAUGUAUAUAAACACACAUGCAUACAUAUAGGUGCAUAUAUGAACAAAUGAACAAUUCAUUACUCAUAGAAGCACUCAUGUGUGGCCCACGGGCUAGAUAUACGUACACAUGUACCCAUAUAACUAUGCACUCGUAAAACAAUCCACAGGUUGUAAUAUUGUCAAGUACAAUACCUAUAUAUAUAUAUAUAUAUAUAUAUAUAUAUAUAUAUAUAUAUAUAUAGAUAGAUAUAUGUGUAUAGCAUUGAUAAUUAGGAGAAUGAACAAUUUGAACAUUCAAAUUUUAUGUUUAUUUUCAAAUGGCUUAUUCAUAAUAAUUGUCCAACACAUGUUUUGAUUGUACUAAUUGCAUAUUGUUGCAUAUUUAUAUGCAGCGAUUUAUGCAUUAUUGAGAAAAAUAGCUCAUCGAUGAAAGGUCAUACUAAUAAUGGAGAAAAAUUCCUCUUUAAACAAUGUCAUAUUUAUAUACCCUGAAGAGAUCAUACUAAUAAUGCAUAAAUCACGGCAUAUAAAUAUGCAACAAUAUGCAAUUAAUGCGAUUGAAACAUGUGUUGGACAAUUAUUAUGAAUAAAGCAUCUGGAAAUAAACUUAAUGUUUGAAUGUUCAAAUUUUUCAUUCUCCUUAUUAUUAAUACUGUACCUUACACACCAAGUAACCAAGAAAUAAACUGUAACUACAGAUGAGAGUUAAAAAGAAGUUACCAUAUAAUGCACCAUCUAAAGGAACCAUCCAUGGCAUUUUACAUAGAGAAAUUACAUAUAUAUAUAUAUAUUAUACAUACAUAAAAACAUUGAUUAGAGAACUAACAUCAAAUUUGGGUCAACGACUUUAUAUAACACCACGCUUCCAUAAUUUUCAUCGUCUAUAAACAUUACCAUGGCCUUUGACAUAUAAAAGAAUACUUACAUAAAAGCACAGAGGGUAAAAAAUACAUAUGCACAUAAAAAUACAAAAUGUAUAGAAAGGCCAAUCAAGAAAAGGUAUAUAUAAAUCAACUAAAAUAGGUAAUCAAAAUGAAUUACUAAAACGUGUCAAGCAACUAAAAAAAUAUCAAUGGACUUUAAAAAAAAAGUUGCAAUGAGACAAUCUUCUUCGUGAAGCUUUGCUGAAUUGCUGCAAGGUCCACUGUGGGAUGACCGUAGUUGGGAGCAGUAGUCCAGGCGGCUGAGGAUGAAUGUCCUCCAGAUGACCAUCAUGGUUUCUUUCUCUUUGGUUCUGAAGGUUCUCAGGAUCCAGCCAGCCAAUUGUCUGUACUUUGUCUCCAUCUUGGUUAUGUGCACUUGGAAAGAGGUGUCAUCAUUCAUGUCAAUAGCCAGGUUCUGGGAUUGUAAUCCCCUGUGGGUCAGUGUACCCUGUAAGUUUUAUGUUCAGUCUUGGGCGCUGAUAACACAGGGAUUGGAAUUUUCCAGUAUUAAACUGCAUAUUAUUGUCCUAGCCCAUCUGUAAACUGAGUCCAACUCCUGCUGCAGGUGUGCAACAUCACUAGGGUUUUGUAUUUUCUGUGAGACUUUCGUAUCGUCUGCAUAGCUAGGCAGCUGAGGGCAUAUCUGAGAGAGCCACUAUGAAAAGCAGUGGUCCCAAGCCAGUGUCCUGUGGAACAUCACUCUCUAUUUCUGUUUUCUUUGAGGUGGCUCCAUUGGCCACCACUGCCUGGCUUCUAUCUUUCAGAAAGUCAUGUAACCACUUUCCAAGUUUUCCAGCUAUGCUGAGAUCAUGUAGUUUGUGGUAUAUCAUACCAUGAUCCACUUUAUCAAAAGCUUUUGCAAAGUCAGGGUAUAUUACGUCCACAUUUGAGUUGGUGAGUAACUGCCUCAACUCCCGGUCAUAGUGUUGUAGGAGCUGAGUCAGGCAGCGCUUACCUGGUCAAAAACCAUGCUGGGUUUCACUCAGCAAGUCAUUUUCUUCAAGGAAUGCGAUUAGUUUCCCUCAGACUAUUCAUACUAUGACUUUGCUGAUGUGUGAAGUCAGAUAUAUAUAUAUAUAUAUAUAUAUAUACAUAUUCAGAUGAAUAUGGUACUUAAGUUGCAGCACCAGAAUUUAGUACAGUAAUAUCCAUACAAUUUCAAAGUAAGGUGAUUAAAAUCAAAAUAAGCAACAAGAAUAUCCAAAGGUAAUGCAGUACGAUCGUUUCAUGCAACUCCAUUUGAUUGAACAAUGCAAUCAUUACAUUAAUUUAAACACAGAGCAAUCCUCAGCUGCAGAAGACAUAGAAUUUAAUAAAAUUAGAACAGAUGGACACAUUAGUAGAAUUAUACCUAAAAUUUCCAAGAAGUUAAGGUGAUAAACAAAGAACAUGCUCUCUCACUCCAGUUUAGAAGUUAUUAAGUUACUGAGUAACUUUUAAACUGAAGUGAGGCAGCAUGUUCUUUGUCUUAACUUCUUGGAGAUUUUAGGCAUAAUUAUACUAAUGUGUCCAUCUGUUCUAAUUUUAUUAAAUUCUAUGUUUUUGUGCAGCUGAAGAUUGCUCUGCAUUUUAAAUUGAUGUAAUGGUUGCAUUGUUCAAUCAAAUGGAGUUGCAUGAAACGACCAUACUGCAUUACCUCUGGAUAUCCUUGUUGCUUAUUUUGAUUAUAUAUAUAUAUAUAUAUAUAUAUAUAUAUAUAGCAGGAAAGUAAGAAGAAAAAAUAAGUGAACAUGAUCAUGUUUGAUACAGUUUACUAUCGACAAAAAUGUAGAAUUGCAAUGGGAACCCGAGCUGCUCCAGUGAUUAUGAACCUUGUAAUGGGUUACCUAGAACUUAAAAUAUACCAAUCAUCACUACAAAAAUAUGGCACCUCAUUUCAUUGCUAUUUAAAGAAGAACUGGAAGAGGUAUUUGGACGAUUGCUUUAUACUUUGGAAAGAUAGCAUGGACAAACUCCUUGACUUCAAAAUAAUGCUUAACAAUAUUAAUAGCAACAUACAAUUCACCAUGGAGCACAGCAGUAAACAACUCCCUUUUCUUGACACCCUAACUAAAAUAGUCAAUAAACACAUUGAAACAGACAUCUUCUAUAAACCCACAGAUUCUAAACAAUACCUAUUAUUUUACUCAUGCCACCCCAAACACAUAAAAAUUAAUAUACCUUAUAAUCUAGCGAAAAGGAUCUGUACCAUAGUUUCAGACACCUAUACUUGUGAAUGAAGACUCCUUGAACUCAGAUCAAUACUAAUCAAAAGACAUUACCCAAUAUCAUUAAUAAAUGAUGGCAUUAAAUGAGCUAAGGAAAUAGAUAUACGAACAUUAAGGGAAGUCAACCGAAAUACUAAACCAGACUUAAAAAUACUCUCAUACAUCUCCACAUAUAACCCUAGACACAACGAAGCCUUCAACAUUAUCAUCCAAAAUCUACCCAUCCUCACGGGAGAUAAAUCAAUGAACAAAAUUUUAGGCUCUCACAAAAUUAUCAAAAGCAAAAUGCAACCCAAAUCAUUGAAAAAUAUAUUAACCAGCGCAAGACUUUAUCUAUUAACAACGGAACCAAAAGUGAAAAAAUGUGGUUGGCCUAACUGUGGUACAUGCUCCCACCUUUUGGAGGGUUCAGAGUUCCACUUUAAACAAGGUGAAAUAUUUAAGAUUAAAUCAAAUUUCACCUGUGCCUUGGAAAAUCUAAUCUAUGCCAUUACCUGCUUAGGGUGUGAAUGAAAAUUUGAGAAUGUAUUGGUAAUAUUUCUGGAUAGAUGGUGGAGGGGGGGUGUAUGUUUAGAAUGAGGAGAUCGGUCAAAAUGAUGGAAAGUGGAUGUUAAACAAUGAUGAUGAUGAUGAUAUAUGUGUAUACAUACACACACAUAUAUAUGUAGAAUCGUACCCCUUUAAAUGCGUAUGUGUUUCUAUUGUUCUUUGCCUCACUAUUGCCCUUUGCUGCUAUUUCAAUUUUCUUGUGGUGAAUCUACCCAUUUCUUCCAGUUCUUGUUCACAAUCCACUCACCCCUUACAACCCCCACCACCAAUACCAGAAACCCCUUCUCCUCGUAUACUGGUAAUCUCUUCUCUUAUACUGAAAACUCCCACAGGGCUCUGCCUCACUUCUGCACCAGAAGACCUACAUACCUCUGUCCCUCCCUCUUUUCCAAGCCAUCUUCCUCCUCCUGCCUCUCACCUCUCUCUCUCUCUCUCUCUCUCUCUCUCUCUUUGUGUGUGUAUAUAUAUAUAUAUAUAUAUAUAUAAUGGACUACCUAACCAAAUAGCAGCCCAUUUACUUACUUAAUCUAACAUUUACCAUAUUUAUAUUUAUGUUUGCAGCUUCAGUAAUGCUUAUAUUUACAAUGCUUACCUUGCUCUCACCACCAGAAGCGGGUAACAAUUUUAACACAUUUGAAUGGUGAUAAGUUAGAAGCCAGGUCAACUGUUGUGACAUGCCUGCUAUCAAACUAUCACGGAAACCUCCUCUUCAGGUGCUGAAUAAUAUAUCUCUGUCCCAUGUUCCCUCCAACAUCCCUUUCCCAGUUUUCAGAGUUGACACUGUCAAUGUGGGCACAUUGAAAUGUAGAUCUAACAAGAUUGUAGAGAUGCUUGAACGGAUAUGUGAUGAUAUAAGUUGCAUCCAAGAGGUUAGGUGAAGAGGAACUUCAGCCAGGUUCCUCACAGGCAAGACACAUAGGUAUAAAAUCUUCUGGGAGGGUAACGGCGAUGGAGUAGGUGGUGUGGGCAUACUUCUUGUUGAGAAAUGGGUGGAUACGGUCAUGAAGGUAGUCAGAGUAUGCAAUAAAGUACUUAAGCUCAGGCUAGUCUUGUAGAAUAGCAUCAAUUAUCUCUGCCCCACAAGCAGGCCUACCAAAUGAACAAAAGGACCACUUUUAUGAUUCUUUUCUGCAGGCUACCUCAAAGACGUGUGAAAACAAUCUCAUCUUUGUGGCUGAGGAUUUCAAUGGGCAUGCUAGACAGCAGCCUAGUAUCUUCCACAGUGUUCGUGGAGGCCAUGGAAUUGGUUCUUGAAACGAAGAGGGAACAAGGCUACUGGAGUUCUGUGAUGCAAGUAACCUUUCGAUCUGCAACACCAACUUCAGAAAGCCAGCCAGCCACCUGAUAACCUAUCAAUCAGGUGGCUCUGCUAGCCAGAUUGAUUUCAUUAUUACAUUAUAUUUUUAAGGAUUUAUAUCAUUUGGAAGUAGAUGCACUGGGUGUGUGACAGUAAUUAUUGUCUAUGUUUGUAGUUCUGAAUAAUGUCCAUUUGAAACGCCCACUGCUUUGUGAUGAGGUGGAGGAACAUAUAUAAAGAGUUUAGGGUUGUUAUAUCGCAUGAAGUGCACCAUAUGAUAUGAAAGAAUAGCAGGAAGCAAGCUGUUGGCAAUUUGUUUAUUCCAUUUCCAUUACAAUGGCUUUAGCAGCUGAUAAUCAAGUUUAAUAAAUAAUUAUAAAUUGUAAUCAAUUGGAUAGAUCAUAGAUCACAUCUUCAGAUGGGACAUUGAAAUAUGAAGAAUCGAACCAUGUGAUGCAUCUAAAUACUAGAGAAAUGAGUCAGCCAAUGGCAGUGAAGAGGAAGAAAGGAGAUUUUGGGUGGGUAGCAACAGUGCCCUGUGUGUGUGUGUGUGUGUAAUUAAUGACAAAUAAUAUAAAGAAGGAAACCUUUGUCUGUGUAGGUAAGGGAUUAGAGUCAUCACAAAGAAUAAUGUGACCUGGAAGAAGAGACAAGAAACAAAACAAAAUGGAGCAAAAAAAAAAGAAAAAAACAAACAAAUACAGCUACAACAGUGCAGGAAGAAUAUAAUAUGUGUGUGUGUGUGUAUGGAUAAAGUGAGAGAGAGAGAGAGAGAGAGAGAGAGAAAGGUAAAUAGAUACAUUAAGAGUAAGGAACAGAAGAAAAGUAUUCCAUACUGGCAACAGAGUAGAAGUGGUUUAAUGGAGUUAAUCAAAAUCAAACAAAGCUGAAAACUAUCAAUUUGAUCAGAUUUAAUGUUUGGUCUGAUGAAAUUGUAAGUUUUAAGCCAGUUGUAUUUUUUGUCUCACAAAAUUAAAUUGUGUGUGUGUGUGUGUGUGUGUGUGUGUGUGUGUGUGUGUGUGUGUGUGUGUAUGUGUGUGUGUGUGUGUGUGUGUGUGUGUGUGUGUGUGUGUGUGUGUGUGCUUUAUGCAUAUGUUAUCAUUCAUUCUGUAUCUGUUUUUUCUUUUAUUCAGAAUUAUUGUCCUCCAAGAGAAGUCAGGGACCACUUCAUGCCUGUCCAAUACAGUUUUUAUUGCCUAACACCAUUCUGGGUGGGUUGUAUUAUGACCCCGCCACUAGAGAGGUUGUCUGGUUCCCAGCAAGACAAAAGAAUCCUAUUUUAUAUUCCUCACAGCUGUUUGUUUGUUCUUUUCUUUCUUUAUCUGACUGGAAUGGAAGAGGAGAGCCAGAAUGAGAGGGUGACGGAAGAAAGGUUAUUAGAAGAGAACUCAAGUGAUAGAGGGAUACACAUACAUGCACACAUAUGUACACUCAUGCACUCACAUACACACACAUAUUCAUGCAUGGACACACAUACAUGAACACACAUACAUGCAUGCACACAUGCAUUCACACACACUCAUACACCAGUUCAGAACAACCUUGUCACUCGUUUAUCUCUUGUUCGGAUUAUAACCAGUUGUUAGACUGGAUUGCUUUGCACUUGAGUCUGACCUAGCGAUUACCUGAGGGAAACAUGUGUUUUUGUCUCUUUGUUUACAAACAGGAAUCCCUUUAUUGACAUUGAGAGCAUGUCGGGAGGUAGCAGGAGACAGGGUGCAGUAAUGUUUUCACAAGUUGAUUGACAUCCAACUAAUUGGAUGAAAACAAGCUUAAUUCUUUCUUCAAAAACAGAAAAAUGUGAUAGGAUUUCUGUAUUGAUUUUUGUUGCAGUUUUGAAGGAAUAUAAUUAGUAAUUACUAACUCUAAUCCCUGCUGAUACCUGAAAGUAAAGCACAUGAUUAAUAGUAAAGCACCUUAUUAAAUAACUAUUACAGUUUAACUGAGUCAGCAAUGAACAGUUUAUAUGGCAAUAUACAAGGUUUCCUUUUCUAAGUUGGUAAGGUGUGAUUUAAUGUAGAUUUGACUGCUAUUUCUUGCAAAUCAAGAGACCUUAUAAUGUUUCCCUCAUUGACUUGUCCCCUAUGUGGUCUCUUGAUCUGCUAAAAAUAACAGCCCAAUCUCCCUUAAGUCACACCCAGCUGUCCUAAAUAAAGUGCAUAUUGAUUAAUGUAAUCCUAAAUACCUCUAAAAAGGCACGCUUACCAUCACUGGAACAUCUUUGAUUUGCUUGAUGAGGGUUAACCUGGGGCUAAACAACAACAGAAUUUAGUGAAAUGUUAUUGUUGUUGUCCACAGAGAAAUGGUGGUGUUUAGGGCCAUGCUAUUUCAUUGUCCCUUUCACAUAGCUAAUUCUAAGAGAGAAAGAUGAAUUAACAACUACUUUAUUUUAUCAACCCUGAACACAAGACAAAGUUGGCCUCAUCCUGAUAAUUUAUAACUUCUUUGUUUAAAUUAAAGGUUCAUCAUUGGAGGUGCCAUUAAUUUAGAGUGUUGAAACCUAUCAUAUAACUUUGUAUUCUAUCUCCAUUUUCUAAAAGACAUUUGUAGUAGGUUAAGAGUUAGAACAAUAAUAAUGAUGAUGAUGGUAAUAUAAUAGUAAUGAGAGUAGUGAGGGAUCAACUGCAGCACAUGCUGCUGUGCUGCUUGGGGUCUCCCAAUGUUUGUGCAACCAAUAUUGUUGUCAGGAAAGAAAUGAAGUAUAAAAAAGCUGUUAAGAUGGCAGAGAGACCAUUCUGGAAAUGAAAGAUUUGGAAAGUGUAAUGCUGAACACACAGAGAUUGCAAUGGUCAUAGAACAAAUAAUUGUCCCAUCAGAAUAAAAAAGAGAAGUGAGAUAUAGUAACCAAAGAGGAAAAGGAAGAUCAUACAACUGGUGAAGUAGGCUUAGUAAGGCUGGUUGUAGGGUUAGUGAGUUAUUUAGCUAUAAAGAAACUAUGAUAGAGCUCGUUGUGGAAAAUGGAGCCAAGAUGUUGUGAUUGUUUCUGAGAAUGAUGUAUAUCCUUUCAUUGUUGGCUGUCUUAGGUAAAGACCUAAUCCACACAACAUACUUUUCUGAAAUUGUCUCAAUAGGAAGAUAGCAUUGGUGGUACCUUUUCCUGGCACAAACUGAAUCUAACCUAAUCUAAUUCUGUUCCUAAUCAAUUGUGCUCAUCCUUUGACUUCCAUCACCUUAAUUAAUACCUCUGAACUUAGCUUUUCUUGUAGAUCUUCUUUGCUCUUUAACUAAUAAUACUGUCACACAAUUCUUUGGGUUUGGUUCUUCUGUGUGAUUCCUUGUGUGAAUGACUAACACACGUCCAAAUGUGACAGAUAUUCUAAUCAUUUCAGUGUUGAGUCCACUUCACUUAAUUUCUUUCAUGAAUUCUUUUCUUUCAGUAACUUCCCCAAAUAGCACAUCCAUUCUGCCUCUUUUUUCAGUGUCAAAGGGCAAUUGUACUGUUAUUCUGUAACCCCGCUCCUGCUCUCCACCACACUAACUUGUUUGUUUUAUCUGAUACACCAGAUUUGCUACCUGAAACAUUUCAUACCUCUGAUCUUCAGAUUGUUGAACACACAUACAGAUCUCUAACUUUUUGCUUCUACUUUUGCUAAGUAUAUCUGAUCAUAUUUGUUUGAUAUUGUUCUUCUCUGCCACCUUUUUUCUCCUCUUUCUGAACCUGUGACUUAGUUUUUGUGGCUCCAUCUACAGCCAUAAUUCUGUCACCUUCUGUUACCUCAGUCAUAAAUAUGGUCUGUAGCUCUCAGCAGAUUGUCCUGUAGAAAAUUGUUGUUUGCUGUUAUGUUAUAAGCCUCUUUCUCCUCCUGCUUCUGUCCUAAUCAUUUGCUAGAAUUUCUCUGAACCUGCAGCUGGUUCUUAGCUCUUUCGGCUUAAUGUCUUCCUUCUCUAGAUUGCCUUGUGUCCAUUUAGCUCUUGCUCUAAACUCACUUAUCACAACUAUUUGUUCAUCAAGGAUAAACUGAGCAUUCACAUACAUUUACAUUUCCUGAUCAGUAUAGAAACUUGUUAGAAGACGACCAGAUAGCUUUGGUUAGUCUCAUAAAAUAUCUUUAUUUAUUUUCCUCCGAGUCUGAAUUAGAUGUGGUUUUUACAGAAAUGUGUGUUCCAUUGUCAGAAAUGUAAUAUUGAUGUUCACAAUUGCUGUAUAUGUUUUGUAGAGGAUUAGACACAUGUGAAUUAGCAUAAAGUACAUUGUCUGAUUACACAAGUGUAAUAGCUCAAUUGGCAGUUAAUUAUAAUGAAUACUUAUCAAUUCAAUGACAGUAGUAAAUACAUACAUGCUUACAUAUAUAAAUAUGUAUAUAUAUAUAUAUAUAUAUAUAUAUAUAUAUAUAUAUAUACACACACACACAUAUACAUAAAUAUACAUGCAUGCAUACAUACACACAUAUAUACAUUUAUAUGUAUGUGUGUAUGUAUAUAUAUAUACAGAUCGCCAUGUUGAUUCGUUAGCUACUGCACGCAUUUUUUUUCUCUCCUUCUUUCUGUGUUUUUCUCUCUCUGUGUAUCUUUCUGUUGAAGAGCGUAGGCUCGAAACGUUAAAGAAUUGUUUUAUUUAUAUUUCCUGAGCGCCAUACUAAUACAAUUGUUCGUUUGUUUUCCACCUGCCUUCGUCUUUUGUUUAUUUUCAUAAAGCUUCCCGUUAUAUAUAUAUAUAUAUAUAUAUAUAUAUAAACUCCUUUACAAUGGCCAAAAUAUUCAUUGUCUUGAACCUAACUGGUCUUACUCCUUCACCACCGAAAAAUACAUCAGUUCUGAAUAAUUACUGAUUGACCCAGCUACAAGGACAUGUAUACUCUAUACUGGAGUACCAAUGACAUAAUUGAAAUAGUAUUCACACACACACAUCUAGCUGAUAAGUAAAUGUUCACACUAUAACCACCUUUAGCUCACCAAUAAUCUCUCCUUCCCCACCUCCUCUCUCUCUCUCUCUCUCUCUCUCUCUCUCACACACACACACACACACAUACACACUAUAGGUCCUAUCUCUCUCUUGCAGGCUGGGUGGAGUUUUCAAGGAAUAUAAAUCUUGCCUCUGUCUUCCUAGGACUAAACAAUGAACGAAAGUGUGGAUGAGUCAUAUUGAUGAUGGAAAGUAAGCUUAGAGAUUCCUUGAGGAUGAACUGGAAACAAAUGUCUGGACUAAGUCUGAGAAUUCUUUAGGACAGCUCUGUAAGUUGAGUCCAAGUGUGAGGAGAAGAGAAAGAAAAUGAAGUUAUCAUUUGGAUCGUAGAUAUUCAUCGAUGGAUCAUAGAAUUCCACUCUCUAGAGCAAGAGUAAAGUGCCAAAUAUUAGACUCUAAAUUCCUUUCAAUGAUUAAAUUUAUCAAACUGCCAUUCUGUUGACUAAUUGUUGCUGAAACAGAGCAUCACCGGGCUCCUCAGCUUCUGGAUGUUAUCCGAAUUAUGGAAACAUUCAGUUUCACAGAGGAGGCAACACGGAAGUUAUGGAGAAGAUACUUCAAAUUAAUCUCUAUAUAUAUAAAGUUGAAGUUGUCUGUGUAUGGCAUGUUUGGUAGCCUUCAACUAACACUAUCUUCUCCGAGACCCUGCAGCGCAAGGUGACCAACAUUGAGAGUAUGAUAGAAGAAGGCUUGCUCUUCCUUCCGUAGAAGAAAAAAUUCAAAUCAGACCAUGUUAAGACCAAAAAUUAUUUUCAUCAAAAAGGUGCUAUUUUUCUAUGAAAAUCCCUGUUUUUUACGAUUUUUUGACUGCUGUGUCGCCAUUUUUCGGUGUAUUUCAACCAGAAAAAUGUUCACUUAAAGAGAAUAACAAGCUACAUAAUGCAAAAUUUUUACUUUUCAAAAAUUCCAAUUCUAAAGGGUCGAAACAAACCCGAGCAAUGCCGGGCGAUACUGCUAGUACAUUUUAAACACAAACAUGACUACUUUUGGCUGCUUGUAUCAGCCAGAAAUUUCUAUGGAGUACACUCCUUACAGAAUAAUUAAAAUUCAAGAAAACAUAGUGCAAGAGACAGGAAAGAUGCUUUCGUCCUCAUCCUUUGACUAACCUAUGGUUGGUCGGAACUCCGUUGACAAUCCCUUUCCACACCACAUGGUCCUACAUUGCUGUGUUCAGAUCUCUAAUAUCUUGCCCCAAGUCCUGAGAUAUCGUAUCUGGAAAUGUCAGUUUCCUGGAGAAAACACUUCCGGAUGGAUGCCAUAGGAGCAGGGAUGAGAUAACCUCUUUCUCCAUUCUCGUAAAAGAACUAAGAAAAUUAAUACAGCAACCUGCCUAAAGAAAUCUAGCUUCUCGUGCCGUCUUGAACUUGCAUAAAUGUACAAAAUACUGAAUGGUUGUUGACUGUCUUGAGUUUAUCCACCUUUUGGAAGAUUUCUUUCCUUCAUCCAGCAAGGUCAUCCCCAAAAUCACCCUCCUCACCAAGUAGGGUCAGUGAAGUUCCUGGCUUAGUCACUAACAAUUAAACAAUGCAACAGGUUGUAAUGGGUUGUGCAUAUUUGAUGUCUUGCAUACAAGUCCUAGGGUUAAUGGCUGUUGUACAAAUAACUCUGCCCUCACAGGUCAUGUCACUGAGUUCUGGUUCCUUUAACAAAAUAGGGGACUAAGAGUGUGACCAUUGUACUAAUGACUUUCAGAUUUCUCAAUGUACUAAAUGUUUUUUUACCUGGAUUGGGAAUAAACCAAUUGGGGAACCUCUAUGUGGUUACUACACUUACUAGAAAUAGCAGCCAAAACUUCUUCAAAACAUCAUACACUCUUAAAAAGGGAAAGACUCAUCAUUCUAUUUUACUUCUUUAUUUUAUUAGUCAAUUAGUUAACUAAUUAACCAAUUAACUAAUCAAUUGUUUGAUUAAUCUAUCUUUAUUUUAUGGAUAGUACCUAAAAUAAAUAUACUCACCAUAAAAAGGCACAAAGAUGAAAACAAGGUCUGAUUGUUUAGCCCCAGGUUUGCUCUGAUUCAGCAGACCUGUGAUCAAACUCAUUCCAUGCAGGACCAUCCCAUCUUUAUAAAGACUAGUUUGAAAUACAUUAUUGAAAGUGUAACAUGUUUAGAUGUUUAGCUGGUGACUAAAAACAAGAUGAAAUUAAUUAUAAGAAUUAUUUGCCUUUCACAACAUCACCCUAUAUUUCUCCAAAUUUCUGACAUUGGACUGUUUCACUUAUUUUGCUUUGUUCAUCUUUUUUAAUUAUGUAAAUUAUAGAUUUGGUGCAUCUGUUGGCUGGUGGUGCAGUCACCAUUUCUAUGUUGUUGCUCAUAUUAGAAAUAGCAGCUAACAUGCCCUUCAUAUAAAUAUCCUGACAUAGGCGCAGAAGUGGCUGUGUUAAGUAGCUUGCUUACCAACUACAUGGUUCUGGGUUCAGUCCCACUGCAUGGCAACUUGGGCAAGUGUCUUCUAUUAUAGCCUUGAGCCAACCAAAGCCUUGUGGGUGGAUUUGGUAGAUGGAAACUGAAAGAAGCCUUUUAUAUACAUAUAUGUGUGUGUAUGUGUAUUUGUGUGUUCGUGUGUCUGUGUUUGUCCCCCACCAUUGCUUGACAACCAAUGCUUGUGUGCUUACGUCCCUGUAACUUAGCGGUUUGGUAAAAGAGAAUGAUAGAAUAAGUGCUAGGCUUACAAAGAAUAGGUCUUGGGAUCGAUUUGUUCAACUAAAGGUGGUGCUGUAGCAUGGUUGCAGUCAAAUGACUGAAACGUGUAAAAGAAAAAAAAGAAACUUAUGAAGUGAAGGAUGCAUUGAUAAUCAUGUUCCUGAUUCACAUAGUCAAUGAAAUGAUCAUGGCUGGAUUGCCUUUGAUCAUAAGUCUGCUUGGUCAAGGCUGACUCGGGAUUAAAAAUUAUUUGUAACUCCUUUUGUUUCCAUGAAAAUCUUUGUCAACUGAUCAGGUACGCUGGAGUAGUCUAUACUGAUGAGAUCUAAUAAACCAAAACAUGUACAUAGUUGUCUCCCUUGCAUACAAACCAAAAUCAGGCUUUCCUUUCCCUAAACAUGUAAGUUAACCUUGACAUACUAAUUCUUAAUUAUCUCUCCCAUUCCUUUCUUAGUUGUUAGCAAAUGCUACCAUUUUUUUUGCUUUCUUUCUCCAUUUACAAAUUAAAUUUCAAUUAAUUUAAAUUUAUUUUCAUACAACAUUUAUACAACAUUGCUUUAUAUUUUCAACUCUUCCAAAAACUUCAUUAACCCACUCACUCACAUGUCCGUGCUAUGUUAAUAACUUGGCCAUCCUUGUUUAAGUGAAUGCCCUCACUGGUAGUCACUUCAUUGUACAGUGAACCCUCUGAAAUAAUUGUUAUAGAUUAAUUAAAACAAGUAAUAUAUUAAGUUGACAUAAUUGCAACAAUAGUUUAAUGACUUUUAGUUAACGAAGAUGAAAUGGUUGCAUUUCAUAUAUUGACACUGCUUAUGACAUUUUUUAUGUAAAAAUUAACAGAGCAAUAAACUGGUCACUAAUGCUAAUUAAACAUUUAAUUAUUCCUCAGCUUGUGAUUAUCCAAAUGGAUAAACCAUUAUUUAAAUGAACCAGAGUAGUUCCAGUUGGUAGGACUUCUAUCAAAUCCAUUUUUUUACAAUCUCAGUCCUUUUCUGCUCCUCUUGCACUUCCGCCAUUGACCAAUUUUUGAGAUCUGCUUCUAUUGUCUCUGUCCUCAGCUCAGCAAUUUCUAUUUGGUAGAUUCUUAUUCAUCUACAACUUCAUCUCCUGCACUCUUUCACUGAAUUCUUAUAGAAUUCAGUAAUCUAUGUGACCUUUUGACCUUGUCAUAAUGUAGAAAUCUGUAGACUCAACAAAAUUACCAAAUUUAUUUGAGGAUGACUGAGGUGAUUGUCAAAACAGUGACAAAACAGCAACUAUUACUUAUGUGUGUAUAUAUAUAUAUAUAUAUAUAUAUAUAUAUAUAUAUAUGUGUGUGUAUAUAUCAUUAUCAUCAUCAUCAUCAUUUUCUUCUUGUUCGUGUAACAUUUACGCUCCAUACUGCUAUGGUCACACUGUUUGACAAACUGAUGAAUCAGAGGAUUGUGCUGUGCUCCAAUGUUUUGGCAUGGUUGCUAUGGCUGCUACCAGCAACUUUACAGAGUGUGCUGGGUGCUUUUUUUCCAUGGCACCAGCACUUGUCAGGUCACUUUGCAACUUGCAAAACUAAAAUCCUGAAAGAGGCCCCUAUAACUGUAGAGUAAUCUUGUGGAGGAACAAGGAAAAGGGAUGGGAUGGGUGGGAUUAAAGUCAGUGGUUAGUGAGAAAAGAAGGGAUGAAAUGGUAAGGGCUGUGAGGUAUGUGGUAUAGAGAUGCUCAAGAGUUCUGACACAUUAUAAGAACAAGUUCAGCAUCUUUGUGUUGCUAGAAUGCCAGGAUCUGUGGUUUUCAUCCAGGACAAAUCCGUAGGCGCAGGAGUGGCUGUGUGGUAAGUAGCUUGUUUACCAACCACAUGGUUCCGGGUUCAGUCCCACUGCGUGACACCUUGGGCAAGUGUCUUCUACUAUAGCCUCGGGCCGACCAAAGCCCUGUGAGUGGAUUUGGUAGACGGAAACUGAAAGAAGCCCGUCGUAUAUAUGUAUAUAUAUAUGAGUGUAUGUGUGUCUGUGUUUGUCCCCCUAGCAUUGCUUGACAACCGAUGCUGGUGUGUUUAUGUCCCCGUUACUUAGCAGUUCGGCAAAAGAGACCGAUAGAAUAAGUACUGGGCUUACAAAAGAAUAAGUCCCGGGAUCGAAUUGCUCGAUUAAAGGCGGUGCUCCAGCAUGGCCGCAGUCAAAUGACUGAAACAAGUAAAAGAGUAAAAAGAGUAAAGAGUAUAUAGCCUUAAAAAAACUCAAGAUACUUCAGAGCUGAGUGAUUUUACCCUACUUAUUAAACACAAUUGCAAAUCAGAAAAUAGUUCUUUUGUACCAUUUAUAUAUAUUUCAGGUUUGUAAUUUUGGUUCACUUCGGAGUUAAGGUUACAUAUCACAGCAGUGAUAAACAACAAACACUAUGAAAUCCUGAUAUCUGCUGCACUUGUCUUUACCUCCAGUGUGAUUUUGUUUCACCUAGCUCUGAAGUAUCCUGUGCUUUUUAACACUAUAUGUCUGUAAAGGAAUUUUUACUGGAUGACAAACUGCAGUUCCUGGCAUUCAAACAACAAACAUAAUUUAUGUAUAUGAUAUUAAUAAUGUUUACAUCAUUGAGGUGCUUCUGUUAUGUAAUUUGAAUACACACACAUGCAUGUGCACACACACACAGAUAGACAAACAGACAGAGCUCUAGCCUCAUCAUUCCAACACACAUUUAACUCUUGACAGCCAGGUCUACUGCAACACCAAGUAUCACCAAUCAGACCAAUCUUUUAUCAUCUUGGCUCCAAAUCAGCUUUUCCACUCCAUUCAUGUCUUCCACAGUUUUUCUCUUCUACAGAUCCCUCUAACUUGGAACACACAUCACUUCCUUCUGCCACUUUAGUUCCUUCCCCACCCCCAUAUACACCACAUGCUCACAUCAGUGCAAUCUUCUCUCUUGUACACUUACUGUUAAUUAUGUCACUUAGUUAAUGAAAGUUAACGACUACUCUUACUGAGCUUUUCUGCCAUUUAAAAGCAACUGUGGUGUGGCUGUAACACUUACUGCUCUAAUGCAUCAGUCACACAGACAGUCUGCUUUCUCUGCCGGUGAUUUCUCUACACUUAUUGUACAUCCAUAGUUUAUGCUAGGUGGCCUUCUACGUGGGAUGGAGCCAGCCUACGUAUGCACACCUUCCCUUCUUGGGACAUAAAACUCUACUUGUGAAGACCUGUUGAGGCAAGUGAGGAUCAGAAUCGAAAUCGAUCAAAUGGAAAUUGCAGAUGUGUUACCAGUGCCGGUGGCAUGUCGAAACUCUACUUGUGAAGACCUGUUAAGGCAAGUGAGGAUCAGAAUCGAAAUCGAUCAAUGGAAAUUGCAGAUGUGUUACCAGUGCCGGUGGCAUGUAAGAGAACCUUCCGUUUCGCGACCAUUGCCAGCGCCGCCCCGACUGGCCUCGUGCCAGUGGCACGUAAAAAGCACCAUCCGUUCGUGGCCGUUUGCCAGCUCUGUCUGGCACCUGUGCGGGUGGCACGUAAAAAGCACCCACUACACUCACAGAGUGGUUGGCAUUAGGAAGGGCAUCCAGCCGUAGAAACACUGCCAGAUUUGACUGGGCCUGAUGAAGCCUCCUGGCUUCACAGACCCCAGUAGAACCGUCCAACCCAUGCUAGCAUGGAAAACGGACGCUAAACGAUGAUGAUGAUGAUGAUGAUGAUAGCAUACACAGUUUAUAGUUUACUACUUUCCUGCAUGUGGUGGUGCAAUGGACCAGUGGUUAGGGCAGCGGACUCGCGGUCGGAGAAUCGUGGCUUCAAUUCCCAGACCGGGCGUUGUGUGUGUUUAUUGAGCAAAAACAUCUAAAAGCUCCAUGAGGCUCUGGCAGGGGGUGGUGGCGACCCCUGUUGUACUCUUUUGCUACAACUUUCUCUCACUCUCUCUUCCUGUUUCUUGAGUAACGCUGCAAUGGACUGGCGUCCCGUCCAGUUGUGGGGAACACAUACGCCACAGAAACCGGGAAACUGGGCCCAUGAGCCUGGCUAGGCUUCAAAAGGGUGACGUUUAUCAUUUUUCUUUCCUGCACAUUGAGCAAGAGCACUUUCUUGAUGGUACCAAGUCCUGUUUUCUGCCUACAAACACCAUAGUCUUAGACAAGUUUAUCUUGAUUCUUGGUUUUCCUUUCACCUCUGGAUUUAUACAAUUAAGAUUACUUUUAACAUAUUAAUUAUUAGCUAUUUAACCUUAACCUUUGAACUCAUAAGUCAUGGAGUCACGACUCAUGACAAAGCUGGUUGCUAUAACAAAUUCCUUUAAUUCCAAAAGGAGUGCAGUUUCUAACCUGGUUAGACAAUUUUUAUUUAAUGAAGGUGGUUAAGAUAACAGAGAUCAUUAUUAAUUAUUGUGUGUGUGUGUACCUUUGUCUAGACAUCACUUAAUGGUUGUAAAAUGUGCAUCAUUGUCAUACAAGUAAAGUUGUUCAUUCCUAGUCUUCAAAGAAAAACAUGUCUGACCAUGGGGGAAAUAUUAUCUUGCUUGGAAACAGGUGAUGGUCAGUGAUGAGAAAGACAUCCAGAUAUAGAAAUUUGCUGCAGCAAAUUCCAACUGACCCAUUAAAGCAUGGAAAAGUGGUCAAUAUUAUUAUUAUCAUCAUCAUUAUUAUUAUUAUUAUUAUUAUUAUUAUUAUUAUUAUUAUUAUUAUUAUUAUUAUUAGUAGUAGUAGUAGUAGUAGUAGUAGUAGUAAUAAGGUGGUGAACUGGCAGAAUCGUUAGCACGCUGCACGAAAUGCUUAGUGGUAUUUCAUCCAUCUUCAUGUUCUGAGUUCAAAUUCUACUGAGGUUGACUUUGCUUUUCAUCCUUCUGGGGUCAAUAAAAUAAGUACCAGUCUGUACUGGGAUUGAUGUAAUUGAUUAUCCUCCUCCCCCAAAUUUCAGGCUUGUGCCUAUAGUAGAGAGGAUUAUUAUUAUUAUUAUUAUUAUUAUUAUUAUUAUUAUUAUUAUUAUUAUUGGCAGUGAGCUGGCAGAAUUGUUAGCACACCGGGUGAAUUGUUUAGUGGUACUUCGUCUGUCGCUACAUUCUGAGUUCAGAUUCUGCCAAUGUUGAUUUUGCCUUUCAUCCUUUUGGGGGUCGAUAGAUUAAGUACCAGUGAUACACUGGGGUCAAUGCAAUUGACUCAUCUCUUCCCCCAAAAUGGCUGCCCUUGUGGCAAAAUUUGUAACCAUUAUUAUUAUUAUGAUGAUAAUGUAUCUAUAUGUUUGUAUGUAUGUUUGUGUGUAUAUAGUGCUGAUAGUUAAUUCCUUCCCAUGGGACCAUGCUAGUGUCUAAGAACUUAGAUACCACCUGUCUUUUGUUUUAACAACUAUGGCAGAAAUCUACUGAAUAUUGUUGUGUCCAAAUUUCUUGAUACCAGCCUGGAACCAUAUAGUGAAGGUAACUACAAGCACCCUGUGUGUGUGUGUGUGUGUGUGUGUGUUUAAUCUAGUAUUUUUGUGUGCUUGUUUCAUAAAAAAAUUGCAUGGAGACAGGUUUAUUUAGCCAGAGGGGAAGCAGAUAAGAAAAAAUUUGCCAAUGUUCUGUGCCGUGAGGACCAAAGACUUGAGGUAUUUCGUGUUGCAAGACAGUGUGUGAGAGAGAAUCGUGAUGUGGUAGGAGAGAAAUGUGUUCGCAUGGAUGAUGGUUCACUUGCGCUAAAUGAGGAUGCAAAGAGAGAGGUUUGGAGAUGCCACUAUGAAAGGUUGCUGAAUAAAGAAAAUGAAUGGAAUAAAGAGAGUCUGCCGAAUGUCGACCCAACAGAGGGACCAGCCAUCCGAGUUGACAGUUCUUUGGUAGUUAAGGCAAUUAGAAGCAUGAAGACAGGGAAAGCCCCAGGCCCAUCAGGAAUUACUGCAGAGAUGCAGUGUCGGCUAUGGCCUAGUCACCCGUAUAGUUAACCAGGUGAUACACGAAGGAGUCAUACCCGAUGACUGGUGUAGCAGCAUAAUAGUCAACUGCUGCAAAGGUAAAGGUGACGCCCUAGAUACAAGUAAUUACAGAGGUAUCAAGCUGUUGGAUCGGGUAAUGAAGGUUACGGAGGGGAUCAUAGCCCAACUGAUUAGGGAGAGAGUCAACUUGGAUGAGAUGCAGUUUGGUUUCGUGCCGGGGAAAAGCACCACUGAUGCCAUAUUUCUGGUGAGACAGCUGCAGGAAAAAUACCUAGCCAAAGAUAAACCUCUGUACCUGGCUUUCGUUGACAUGGAGAAAGCCUUUAACAGGGUCCCCUGAUCCCCUAUCUGGUGGUCAAUGGGGAAACUAGGGAUAGAUGAAUGGUUAGUGAGAGCUGUGCGAGCCAUGUACAGGGACGCUGUUAGUAAGGUGAGGGUUGGCAACGAGUACAGUGAAGAAUUCCAGGUAGAGGUUGGGGUCCACCAAGGUUCAGUCCUCAGCCCCCUUCUAUUUAUCAUAGUCCUCCAAGCAAUAAUGGAGGAAUUCAAGACAGUAUGCCCCUGGGAGCUCCUCUAUGCUGAUGACUUUGCCCUAAUUGCUGAGUUACUAUCAGAACAGGAGGAGAGGUUUCAGGUGUGGAAACAAGGAUUAGAAUCGAAGGGCCUUAGAAUCAACCUAGCCAAAACCAAUGUUCUAAUAAGUAGGAAGGUAGACAAAUCACAAACACCUUCAGGUAGAUGGCUCUGCUCGAUCUGUAGAAAAGGCAUAGGUAGAAACUCUAUAAGAUGCACCAAGUGUAAGCUAUGGACACAUAAGUGGUGCAGCAAUGUCAAAGGAAGGCUAACUAGGAAGAUAGUUUUUGUAUGUGGCAGAUGCUCAGGAGCAAUAAACACUGAAAAUGCUCUGAGACCAUCUUCCGCCACAUUCCAGGGAGAAAAACUAGAAAUAGUUGAUAGCUUCCGUUACCUAGGUGACCAGUAGUGAGGGCAGGUGUGCUGAAAGUGUAACUGCCAUAGUAAGAAUAGCCUGGGCAAAGUUCAGAGAGCUCUUACCUCUGCUGGUGACAAAAGGCCUCUCGCUCAGAGUAAAAGGCAGAUUGUAUGACGCAUGUGUACGAACAGCUAUGCUACAUGGCAGUGAAACAUGGGCCGUGACUGCUGAGGGUAUGCGUAAGCUCGCAAGAAAUGAAACCAGUAUGCUCUGCUGGAUGUGUAAUGUCAGUGUUCAUACUCGACAGAGUGUAAGUACUUUGAGAGAAAAGUUGGACCUAAGAAGCAUCAGUUGCGGUGUGCAAGAGAGACGUUUGCGCUGGUAUGGUCAUGUGGCGAGAAUGGAUGAAGAUAGUUGUGUGAAAAAGUGCCACACCCUAGCGGUUGAGGGAACCUGUGGAAGAGGUAGACCUAGGAAAACCUGGGAUGAGGUGGUGAAGCAUGACCUUCGAACUUUAGGUCUCACCGAGGAAAUGACCAGAGACCGAGACCUUUGGAAGUAUGCUGUGCCUGAGAAGACCCGGCAGGACAAGUGAGGCCAUAAUCCCGUGACCUCUACCUGGGAUGUAGCCAGCCCACUUAUGCAUUCCUUUCCUUCUUGGGACACAAAGUUCCACUUGUGAAGACCUGUUGAGGCAAGUGAAAAUCGAAAUCAAUCAACAUCAAUGUAGCUGUGAUACCAGUGCCGGUGGCACAUAAGAGAACCAUCCGAACGUGGCCGUAGCCAGCGCCGCCCUGACUGACCUCCAUGCCGGUGGCACGUAAAAGGCACCAUCCGAUUCGUGACCAUUGCCAGCUUCGUCUGGUCUCUGUGCCAGUGGGACGUAAAAAGCACCAUCCGAUUCGUGGCCGUUGCCAGCUUCGUCUGGUCUCCGUGCCGGUGGCACGUAAAAAGCACAAUCCAAUUCGUGGCCAUUGCCAGCUUCGUCUGGUCUCCAUGCCGGUGGCAUGUAAAAAGCACCAUCCGAUCGUGGCCGUUUGCCAGCCCCGUCUGGCACCUGUGCCGGAGGCACGUAAAAAGCACCCACUACACUCACGGAGUGGUUGGCAUUAGGAAGGGCAUCCAGCUGUAGAAACACUGCCAGAUCAGACUGGGCCUGGUGCAGCCUUCUGGCUUCCCAGACCCCAGUUGAACCAUCCAACCCAUGCUAGCAUGGAAAGCGGACGUUAAACGAUGAUGAUGAUUAGCAUUUUACCUUUUACAUAUUACAUUUGAAAUCUUUUUGUUAUUAAAGGGUAAAACUGACUCUAUAACUUAUACAAAUCAUUGAAGAACAAAAGCUUACUCAAAUUCUAUGACAUCAGCCAUUUUGCUUAUCAAACAUUCCAGUUUUCUAUUGUUGUCUCAUUAAAAGAACUGACAGUAGUUUUGCUGUCAUUUAUGCAACAUAAAACUUAACUAAUUUAUUUUCUCAUAAAAGAUUAAUGGAUCUUCUGUCAUAUUUACCCCAUUUUCACAUAACAGCAAAUCUAGUCAUUUUCUUUUCUACUCCAAUACUAUUAUAAGAUAUCUAAAAUACCACCAGAGCCUUUUUUUUUUUGACAAUUUGUUGCACUGCAGGGAAUUAGAAAUGUCAGUGUCCUCUGCUCACUACUGCUAUAUACAUUCAAUUGUAAUGUACCAUUAGUGAAGAUAUUUCUACUACAAACAUUUAACCCAGAUAAUGGCUUCCCUCCACCCUACAUGAUAGAUGAUUUGAUAUCAAUAUGCGAGGAACUGAAGUAGUCACAAGCAGCACAGAUUCUUUUUCUUCAAUUAAUUUGAAGCAAAAUUAGAAACAAUGGAUUGAAUUAAAAUGGUUUGAAUUAAAAGAAUCUUCUUGUGAAGAAACAUUCGAGUACAAGGUGUAAAUAGACAAAUGUUUUCUGAACUAGCUGCAGCAGACACAAGUUUGACAAUAUUAAGCAAAGAGAAAUCUGUCAGAGUCUACCACUGUAGUAACUUAAUGUUCCCAGAAGCUAUGAUGAAUUCAGAGAAAAGUUGUCCAAAUCACAUUGAAAACUCUCAACUAAAUUUGAAGUUAGCUUCUGUGAGUUCUUCAUCCGAUAUUGUAUGUAGCGUGUCACAUAUUUAAUUAAUGUCAAUAGCGUUCCAUUCUAUAUAUUGCAAUUACUGUGAUGGUGUCUUGUUACGUCUUCUGAAAGCACCCUGCAUUAAAAAAUUUGUGGGUUUGACUUAUAAUAUAGAAUUCUUUGUUCUUCUACAGGGUGCAAAUACAAUCCACUAUGGAAUAUUGCUUCUAUCUUUGAACAACAGUUCAACUUGCAUGCUGUGUUUCCAUUUGCUUCUCAACAGAUCUCUCCAUCACAGCUCAUUUAUCUAGUCUCUCUUUCCCCUUUAUUUUUAUCAUUCAACCUAAAUUUUAAAGAGUAGAAGUAUGUCACAUAGGAAGCACUUUCUACCUUUUAUUGUUUUAAAAUCUAUAACUUACCCACUAUAAAAUACAAAACUAUAACCACAUUCAUAUUAUAUUUCACACUUUUGUGUGCAUAUUACAGACAAGCUGUGAGCAUUGUCCUUCCUUCAAGGAACAACAAAUACAGAAAAAUCAAUGGCAUUCAUCACCUGCUACUGAUGAAUCUAUGCACCUGGAUGGUUUCUAACCAAGGCAUACGCUUGGUUAAGGUAUUUUGAAAAAGUCUUGCUCUGCAGAUGAUGUUUUCAAGGAAAAGAAAGCCAGCGCUGAUGAAGUGAGGCACAGUGUGAUGAUAAAAUAAAGAUAAAGAUCAGAACAUUUGUAACAGUUGAUAAUUUAAUACACAGUGAUAAAUUUGUAGAGUGUGGGGAGUACACCGACCAUGGUGAAUUGAGUACAUAAAUCAUGCUGAGUAUAUGGAGGGUGGUGAGGUUGCUGACUGAUCAAAUUUUAUUCAAUUCUUGUGGUAUUUUGUCUUUUUGUUGAUCAAAUAAAAUCAGAAAAAUCCAGAAUUGUCCAUUUGAUUUGGUAGAAUUGAAACAGUUUGUUGUGUGAAGCAAUGGACACAUGUUACAAGAAUAGACUAAACUCUGGGCUGUAAACAAUGUAAAAUCAAUAGUGAAACAUAGAACUGGGUGGAAUCUAGUGAUUUUCUGCGUCAGUAACUAAAGUACCAAGAGUAAGAAUAGUGGAAUAGUGGAAGAGUAGAACAGUGGAGUAGUAGAAUAGUGGAACAGUGGAAGAGUAGAAUAUAUAUGUUCUGUUCUGGAGAAAAAAAUAAAAUAGGUUCACCAUAGAUUUAAUAAGUUUUAGAAAAGACUUAACAUUGAUUCAACAGUUUUCAUCAUCGUCAUCAUCAUCAUCAUCAUCAUCAUCUUCUUCUUCUUCUUCUUCUUCUUCUUCUUCUUCUUCUUCUUCUUCUUCCUCCACCCUUUGUGGGUUCAAUACCAUGAAUUGCCAUUUCAAUAGUUCUGCUGCUUUUCUAUUCGUUGUAUUUUAAAUCUGGCCAAUUCUUGAUAUUACAACCCUAUAUAAUAUUGUAUGGUUAUAGGUGAAAAAAGUUGUCAUAUUUCCAGUAAUUAAAUCACCGAAGUUAAUUAUUCAGAAAAACAAUAAUCAAAUUAGUGUUAACAUAUUUACUAUAAGGGACAUUAACAAUUUGAUUAGAAAUAAUUUUGUGGUGAGGAAAAAACAUUAAUAAGCCUGAAACUUGCCUAGAGUUAGCUCCCAUGUUUACUGCAAUGAUUAAAUUAAUAUAUAAUAUCUUGUAUUGACAUCUAUAGAAUAUAUUUCUAGAUUAUUACGACAGAAUAGAUGUGUAGAAUAAAGUAUAUACACCUAUAAGUAUUCAGCCAAUACUGCAUGUUCAAACAUGUUUAAAUGCCACCUUAAUAAUAAACGCAACUAUGCCUCUCCUACUUACAUACCUACUUCUCAAACGUGGUGGGUACUUUCUUCUAAACCAACUUUCACUAUUCUUCCAAUUCUGUCUUGAUAAUGGUGUUACUCCAGAGCAGUGGAAAACUGCCAGUGUUAUCCCUCUGUUCAAGAAAGGUGACCACACAUCACCUGUCAACUAUCGCCCCAUUAGUCUUACUAGCUGCAUCGCCAAACUGAUGGAAUCCUGUGUCAGGGAAACCCUCUGGAACUUCUGGAAGUCUCACAGCCUCAUCCAGCCGUCACAAUUUGGAUUUAUUCCUAACUCCAGCUGCUGUAAUCAACUCAUCGAGUUUCUUGAGGACAUUACCUAAAUCACUGAUCGCGGAUCCUGGGUGGAUGUUGUUUACCUGGACUUUGCUAAGGCUUUUAACUCUGUGCCACACAAAAGACUUAUGGUGAAACUCUCUGCAUUGGGCGUAAGAGACGAUCUCUAUAACUGGUUGAAGUCCUUUAUUUUUGGCCAAAAAGAGGUUGUCACAGUUCUAGGACAGCAUUCUUCACCCUAUGAGAUGACAUCUGGUGUACCACAGGGAUCUGUUCUUGGCCCCCUUUUAUUUGUUGCAUAUGUUAAUGUCUUAAAGAAUGCCACAGUGCUGAAAUAUGCAGAUGACAUCAAGCUGUACCUCAAAAUAAAGAGGUCAGAUCCUGUACACUAUAGAUCUCUAUUGCAAUCAGACCUGGACACAAUGCAGCAGUGGAUCAUGGACUGGCAACUGAAGCUGGCUGUGGACAAAUGUACCACCAUGCAUUUUGGGAGGAAAAACCCAGCGUCUACUUACUCCCUCCACAACACUAAUCUCAAAAAGUCUUCGUGUGAAUGUGACCUGGGUGUUAUUGUCGACAGCGAUUUGCGUUGGACAAAACACAUCGCUAAAAUUGCCAAGAAGGCUGAGGGUGUUUUGGCAUCACUCACCAAGUCCUUUGUGAGCCGCUCUCCGGCUAUCUAUCUGCGGCUUUAUAUAGCUAUGGUACAACCUCACCUGGAAUUUGCAUCACCGGUCUGGAACCCCUAUCUUGCCCAGCAUAUUAAUCGUCUGGAAGCCGUUCAGCGACGUGUAACCAAAAGAAUACCCUCCAUCAGGAGCACUGCAUCUUUCAAAACUUUCAUGCUUCCUGAGAUUCGCCAACACUACACCUAAUUUUCUCCCCUCCAUACGCACACAAGCAUGUAUCCGACUCAUACACUAUUCGCUUUCUAGACAUUUGUACAUUACUGCAUAUACUUUAUGUGCACUUUUUGACAAGUUGUGGUGCACCUGAGCACUGUAUACAAUAAUUUCAUGAUCAUUAUUAUUAUUAUAGAUGUAAGCAUAUUGUCUUUCUAUACACUGUCUUAGGAGACAGCAAAGGAGAACUCAACUAGACUAAUAUACAUUGAGUGUUGGCUAAAAAUCAAUAGAUAUACCCAAUAGCAUUGAAAAUUAACACUGUUAAUUUAUUGCAGUUUCUUUAAAUAAUAUUAGUCAUUUAGCUAAUAUUGUCUUUUCCUCACCACAUAGCUAUUUCUGAUUAAAUAUUUAAUGCUCGCUACAUUAAAUAUGUUACCAUUAAGAUAACUGUUGGUUUACGUAUAGAUAGCAUUACUGAAUGAUUAAGGUCUGUGAUUUAGUGUUUUUAAUAUUGAGAAAGAGUAUUUUAAAGAUAGCUCCUGAUCAUGUGAUGCGUAUGGAUGUGGACAGCUGCGUGAAGAAGUGCCGAUCUCUAUCAGUGGAAGGAAACUGUGGAAGAAGGAGACCCAGGAAGAUGUGGGACAAGGUGGUGAAGCGUGAUCUUCGAAUGUUGAGCCUCUUGGAGGCAAUGACUAGUGACUGAAACUUUUGGUAAUAUGCCAUGCUUAAGAAGACCUGUCAAAGCAAGUGAAAUCAUAGUUGUGGCUGUUGUUGGUGUCAUGUAACUGGCACAUAGAGAGCACCUUUCAAGCACUUGGGCCUCAUGGAGGCAAUGACACAUGACCAAUACCUUUGGCAAUAUGCUGUGCUUGAGAAAAAGAACCAUCAAGCCAAGUGAAAUCGUAGUCAUGACAGAUACUGGUGUCAUGCAACCGGCACGUAAAAGCACCCAUUACACUCUCAGAGUGGUGCGUGUAAGGAAGGACAUCCAGCCAUAGAAACCAUGCCAAUCAGACUGGAGUUUGGUGCAGCUCCUUAGCUUUCCAGCCCUAGUCAAACCAAUGCCAGCAUGGACAACAGGCACUAAAUGAUGAUGAUGAUGACGAUGACGAUGAUGGUGAUGACAAUGACGAUGAUGAUGAUGAUAAAGGCUAGAUUCCUAACAUAGUUUUGUUCUUUGUAUUUAAUUUCAUUGUCUCAUAAAAUGAACAACAACUAUAAACUCUGUAUUUUAGAAUUUCCUGUCUUUGUAUUUCAUCUUUGUAUUUCAUCUUGUGGCAUCUGAACUGACCUUUCCUCUUGUUGACUUCAUGUUCAAACUCUUCUUCUUUUGUCUCUGUCACACCCUUACCUUCAUACGAUGACCCUCUGCACAUAAUCACCUAACAUUCUACAUCUAUUCAUAUUACGUUACAAAACUAUUUCAUGUCCCCUUCCGAUCCCCUUUCCUCUUUGCUUUCAGUUCAUUUAGAGUCAGACUUUCUCAUAAAUUAACAUAUUUAAUGAAACAUACAUCCUUUAUUAUGGGUAUUUUCUCUUUGGAGUUUAUUCUCUAAAACAUCAUUCGCAUAGCAAGGUCAGCUCAUGUUGUAAGGUCUGCCGCUAACCUAAUGAACUGAGCCAAUUAAUUACUGUAUUCCCCAUUCUACAGUUCAUAAAAAUAAUCAUUUUUUUCUUUUUCUCCGUAAAGAAAGUCUCCCCAAAUCAUUCUGUAUCUUAGUGAUACUAAAAAGCCAAGUUGUAGAAUGGAGCUCAACAGUUGGGUCCAGAUUUCACUAGGGCCCGAACCUAUGGUUACAAUUUACUAAUUGUACUAAAUACUUCUCACUACCAUAGUCACCAUAUUUAUUAGUUUUGUAACGUUUUGAUGGUAAGCAGAAAUUUACGGUGAUUUAGUGGCAUCAGUAACCUAUGGUUACAAUUUACUAAUUGUACUAAAUACUUCUCACUACCAUAGUCACCAUAUUUAUUAGUUUUGUAACGUUUUGAUGGUAAGCAGAAAUUUACGGUGAUUUGGUGGCAUCAGUGGUGAGUGAAGAAUCAUUUGUUUGGUGUAUUAGGAAUUGACAAUGUCUUGGCUUUUGUAGGCAGGCAGAAGUAACAGCAAAGUAGACACCAUCUGUUACGUGUCAGUUUAGUUAUUCAGCCAAUAGUAACCUUCUACAACACUGUACAAUGUCAAUUAUGCAGGUUGCAGAGAAAACAGACGUACAUAAUUAGUUACAAGCUACAAGUUGUUAAAAUAUACCAAACAACAUGGCAACUAGACAGUUUAGAGACAGUAUGAACCAUCGCCAGCUGGAAAGAAUGAUUCAUGAAUGAAGACAACUGAAUGAGGCAUUAAUGAACACAAGAAUAAGCGAAAACAAAAAGGAAAGACUGUCAUUAAGAAGCCAAAUUUUCUCAACUGUAGAAAGAUAUAAAAUUAUGGCUACCCAGUCAAUUAUGUGUUGGGUAGAGAGGCUUCAACAAUAAUGUGCAAGGUAAAGUGAGUGGUAGAAAAGGGAAAUGUACCAGCAGGUGUGUUUGCUAGAUCAGCAUCUUGGUGCUACCAUUUUCACGAAGAGGCAUGAUUUAAUGACAGGAUCACACAGAUGUAUGAAGAAUACGAAGGAAAAAUCUUGGACUUGAACAAACAUGUGAACAGUAACAGGAAGAAGGAAAGAGAUUUAAAUAUAAAGCAAAUUAGCGAAUAUUAACAUUUGAUAGGCCCUCAAAGAAAAUGAAGUUGUAAAGAUGGUGACUAUAUAACCAUAUUGUUAUUUUGGUUUGUUGUGCCAGCAGGUAAAGCUGAAUUUAUCUUGGAAGAUUAUGAAAACAUAGAAACAGCAGCAGCAAUGAUAAUGCUAUUGAUGACAUUAGUGGAUGAUGUGUAUGUUUGUAAUAUAACAGUAUGUUUUAAUAUACAGUAAACUAAGCAUGGAGUUUGUGACAUUCUCAAGAAAUAUAUUUUACAUUUAAGUUGAAAGUUAAGAUACUUCUAUUGACUCUUUCUCUCAUCACCUUCUCUCUCCCUCCCUCCCUCUCUCUGGAUAUGAGAUUGUGGGUGCACCAAUGAUCUUCACAUUACUGAAUGGCUACCAGGGGAUGUAAGGGUAGUUGGGACUUGGUAAUAUCUCUGAAAUGCUUGUACAGGUACUUAGGAUAACAAACAAGCACAGUGUACAAUUUGUAGUAAUUAUAUCCAGUAACAGUGGAGUAAACUUAUUAAUGUACAUCCAUUUUAUUCUAAAUUAAAUAUUUUUAAAAAAUAAAUUUUUGAUGAUGCUUUGAAUUGUCAAAAAUUUCUUUUAAAAAUAUAACUUGUUAAUUAUGUAUAAGGUAAGACUUAUCAUUUGUAACUUUUCAUGAAGCAGAGUAAUUAUGCUCAUUAAAAUUACACUACUAAUGAGGAGAAAGAAUUGUUUAAUUAACAAUUAUGGUCAAGGAAGUUACACUACAUUGACCAUAUUUUAUUUUUAAUUAGUUUUGAUUUCAGAGUUGUCUACCCUGCCACUCUUACUUAGAAUUAAUCAUUAAACCAACAAUACUCUCUCUUCACCAUGGCUGUGUAAUUUGAAUUAAAACAUUGUUUGUUUCACUCUAAUGUUUGUCAAUAUUGUUUUUACAAUCUCCUAUGAGUGUCAACAGAAACACCCAGUCGAUGUAACUGCAAUAUCACUUGGGAGAACUGUAUUUUCUUUGUUAUUGCUUCUGUAGACUUGAAAUUGAUCUUACACUAGUAAUACUAGUUUCUUUAACUGACCACCUGGACACUGUGACCAUAUUUUCCCUAACCACAGAGUUACCACUGCCUUUGUCCAUUUACUCUUUGUGAGGAACCUGAAUAAGAACACCAGACAGAUUAAUUUCUUUGGAUGUUGUUUCUCAUUUACAGAUUAGUAAAAGAUGGGAGUUUUGUGCCAUCAACACAACAGGCUAAAAUAGCAAUAUAAUUGUAUAGUCACCAUCUUUACAACUUUAUUUUCAACAGUUUGAUGGCCUCUUAAAUAUUAAUGCUACUCUAUUUUUAUUGGCUAGUUUGAUCUAGAUCUAAAUCCCUGUCCUUCUUCCUGUCAUUGAUCACAAAUCUGUUAAACUCCAAAGGUUUUGUUCUUCAUAUUCUUUAGACAUCUGUGUAAUCCUGUCUUUAAGCCAUGUCUCUUCAUGAAAAUAGUAAUGCCUCAGUAAUUUACCCUCAUAAUAGUUUGCCUCUUAUAUGAUUGCAGGGAUAGGUAUAUUUUGCAAUCCCAACCUUAAAAUUUCAGUUUUAAAGACCCUAAUGGGUUUUGAACUCAGAACUUAAAGCUUUAUAACUCAAUACAAGGUGUUUUGUUUGUCACCCUGCCAAUCUUUGGCCCUAAAUAGAGGUGUUUCAACCCUUUCUUAACAUGAAAUAGUUGUUGUCUAAAACAGAUGUUUCCUCAAAUUGGAAUCAGUUUUCUGACUUUCAUAUCCUGCAGAAAUGUCUGAAACUCUAAAGAUUUCUGAGAACAAUGAUUGCUUUAACAAUUUCUGCUGAAGCUUGUUUAUCUGUCUCCAUUGAACAAGGGCUCCCUGUUCACAGUACAUGUCAAUACUAUAAACCUGUGUAUUUAACAAAACUGCAGGGCAACCAACAUCAAAAGGCGUCCAACACAGAAUGACAUUGAAUCAAUGUGGAACACAACUAUAGUGUGGUUGGCUUCUAAUUAAUGAUGGAACCUUUUUAUGGUCAACUGAACUACUAAAAGUAGAAGCCAAAUCUCCCUCUUCACAUACCAAGCAUGUUAUUUUUUAACUGUGUUGUUGUUGUUGUUGCUGUUGGCUCCAGAUGAGACCUGAUCCAACAGAACUUUGGAAAAAUGUAUUCCAACCAUGAUCAUCCCAUAAUUUUGUAUAGUUAGGACAACUUUGUUGUGUCCUUCCUUUUCUUAGUGUGGUUUAUGAGAGUGUUAUUAUGCCUAGCAGGUUGCCCAGCCACGCAUGUCAUUCGUUCCUACCGACUAAUCAAUGAGAGUCAGAAACAGUGUCACACAAUACUGUUAUAUUUUGCAAUGUUGUCUCUACAAAAUGAAUGCCUGCCUCAAUACAACAACAUCAAACCAUUUAAACUAAAUCACUGUAAAUGGAUUACCUUUACUGCUGACCUGUUUCAAGAAAUACAAAACUUACAAUUGAAACUCGAGAGUCAAUACUACCUGUAAUCGCUGUUGUAAAUACAUUUCACAGGUUUUGGUGUGGGUUUGAGGGGUGGGAAGGAAGUUGUGUCAUUGUACACCAGUGAAUUUUCUUCUCCCAAAGAAUUUUACUCUCAUUGCACAUUAUAGCGAAUAUAAAUACCUUGUCACACUUUAGGUAUAAAGUCCAAAAAAAUAUUCAAAAAAUAUAUUUGUAUUAGGUUUAAUAUGGGAAUGUAAAUAAUGCAAAUUUUACAAGAAUAUUAAUUACACACUUAUCUAUUAAUUAAGAUUAUUAAAAGAAACACAGAACUUUCUGGACUUUUGGUGACUAUAUAUUGGGUCAUCUUUGAGAUAAACACACCUUCCUUUCAUCCUCUCAUUGUAUUUUCCACAUCUUAAUAAUACGAAAACUCUACAGAUGUUUGUGUGUACCUGAAAUAUCUCAGAAACAGUAUAUUUUUAUCUUAAUUGGUUUUUUUGCCUAUUUAUUUUCAUAUUUACCUUUGGCAGUGCAAUACAAAUUUUUGUGACAUUUAGACCUUUAUAUAUUAAUGAAAACAAAUAAACACAAUUUUUGUGUUUACUCAUGACAUACAGAAUAUACACAUACAGAAUAUACACAUUUAUAAUGAAUGUCAUGGCAUGUCAGUCAACACAAACACACAUCCGCUAUCUUUGACAUACACACGUACAUAGUCUUCACGCUCUCUAAGAAAAAGCAAAAAAGGCUGACUUUUUGAUGUACACAAUAUUUUAAUCAUUUAGAAAUAUUUUUAACUGAAUGUGAUUUAAAAAAUGUAUAGUUUUUUUGUUCAGUAAGUAUUUAUAUUUUAGCUUUCUUUAAAGAGACAAUAUCUUAAUGUUUUUUUUAAUUAUUUUCAAGUCGUCAAUUUCUGUAAAAAUUUUUUAUUUAUUUACUUUUGUUCUAAAGUAAAGAUGUAUGUACGUGUGUGUGUGUAUGAAAGAGAGAGAGGAAGAGAGAAAAAGAGAGAGAGAGAAAGAGAGCAAAAGAGAGAGAGUGAGUGAAGGGGUGUGUUGUCAAAUAUAUGUACAUACAUCAUUGCAUAUUCGUACAUCUUUUUUGUAUGUAUGUGUGCAUGUGUGUGUGUGAGAGAGAGGGAGAGAGAGAGAGAGUGAGUGAACGUGUGUGUUCUCAUGUAUGUGUAAGUGGCACUCUCUCUCUCACACACACACAUGCACAUCUAUUUCAUAUACAUGUUCAUACAUCUUUCACUUUAAAACAAAAGUAAAUAUAUAAAAAAUUUUUUACGGAAAUUAACGAACAAAACUUCAUAAAGUUUAUGAGGGCCAAAAAAGAAUAUCCAUGUUCACUCUCAUUCACUCCUCAACCACUUUUGUUGGAUCCACUUAAUAAAUAAACCUGCUUGCACUUCUGAGCCACAGGAAUGCAGCACGAUCAUCUUUACAAUGUACUAGGAUGAUUCAACACAAUAAUAACAGCUGUUCAACAUAUCUGUUCAAUUAUUUACAUUAUUUACAUUUGGCGGAUAUUUGUUCACAUCGCCUUCAUCAGGUGUCUUGGGGAAAUUUCAAACCUGGGUUCUCAUUCCUAAGGUAUUUUUCAAUGUUGUUGUUGUUGUUGUUGUUGCUGUUGCUGUUGCUGCUGCUGCUGUUGUGAAGGUGCAUGGCUCAGUGGUUAGAGCGUCGAGCUUACGAUCGUAAGGUUGUGAGUUCGAAUCCUGGACCAGGCUGUGUGUUGUGUUCUUGAGCAAGACACUUUAUUUCACAUUGCUCCAGUUCACUCACCUGUAGAAAUGAGUUGCGAUGUCACAGGUGCCAAGCUGUAUCGGCCUUUGCCUUUCCCUUGGAUACAGUGGGGGCGUGGAGAGGGGAGGCCGGUAUGCAUGAGUGACUGCUGGUCUUCCAUAAACAACCUUGCCCAGACUUGUGCCUGAGAGGGUAACUUUCUAGGUGCAAUCCCAUGGUCAGUCAUGACUGACGGGGGUCUCAGCAUAUUAUUAUUAUUAUUCAGGUCACUGCCUGGAAUCGAACUUGGAAUCUUGGGGUUAGUAGCCCGCACUCUUAACCACUAUGCCAUAUGCCCAUGGGCAUAUCUGUUCAAGUCAGAAAUGUUUGUGCACUGGACAAGGACAAAAUGGUUUUGUUGCUCUGUACUCAUUCCAGACAGGCCCAGCUGAUGGUACUUCCACAUUUGUAGUUUAUCUCAAAUUUGUGAUACCGCCUGUUAGUUCUGCUUGGCCAAUGGUCUCUGUCCCAAAAGACUGAUAGAACAGACUAGCCACUUGAUUUUCAUCAACAACUUGAGUUUCCCCAUUAAUCAUCACUUUUGUCCGUCACUAAUUCUCUAUAUAGAACACCAACACAAAACUUCCACCUUACUGCACUGCUUGACUGGUAGAGGCCUGUGAGUACAUGAUGGCAUUUCAGAUGCCAAGUGCCCUGUCUUGGUCUUUGCUUGACCCCAGGACUGUUUUGGUAAAACAUGAACUGGGACAAAGCAUGAUGAUCAAGCAAUGAUAUAUGAUGAAAGCAUUGUAAGUAUUCACCACUUCUGCCGGACAUUUCAGUUCUUCAUUUCUGACUGAGAUUGGCCACUCUACUUGUCACUUCAUCCCAGUUCUUCUCCACUUGUAGAUUUAUACCACAACAGAUGUCGAACAAUUUAAUUGGUCUGUCUGUUCAGCACCACUUGAUGCUGUUGGAUGGUACGAACCUGAAUCUACUACUAAUAAUAAUAAUGUUUUCAUCAUCAUCAUCAUCAUCAUUAUUAUUAUUACUAUUUCACUAUUGCAUGUUAAUUUAGUUAGCAAGUAUUUUAUCUUGAGGGUUGGUGACAACAAUGAGUCUCCUCAAAUCUCCAGAAUCUUUCUUAGGAUUCCUGCAGAAUAUAGGAUGGUACUUUUGUGCAGGUCAAUAGCGAGGGUUUCAAUUCCAAUCUCUUUCAGUCUUUUAGGCAGCAUUUCAGAUAUUGUUGUCUUGGUCUUCCAGUCUCCUCAGCUCUCUGGCUAGAUUCUGAUAUUUCUCAUUUUUUUUCAAUUUCUUUGGUGUCAACCCUGCUACUAUGAGGAAUUGUAUAAUCUAUGAUCUUGUACUAUUUGUUUAUUUUGUGUUCUAUAGUCAUGUCUGAUCAUCUUGCCUUAACAGCAUGUUCAGUCUUUAUGUUGAAGUUCCACAAGAUUUUGUCAUUCUCAUUUUCUAUCAUGUCUUCUAGUUUAUGUUCAUAACACUUUUCUAUUGUUUCGAAGCCACACACUUGGCUAAUAUCCCAACACACUCUUUUGCCAAUACAUUCAUGUCUAUGCUUAUACUCCUUUUGUGCUAGUUUACUGCACUUACUCAAAAUGUGAUUGAUACUUUCAUCUCCUUUCCUGCAGAUUCUACAUUUACUGUCUGACUGAAUUUUAUUGAUCUUUGCCUUUAUCAGAUUUGUUCUAAGGGCUUGUUCCUGAGUGGUUAUAAUUAGUGUUUCUGUUUCUAGUUUCAAGUUCCUAUUCUUCAAGCACAGUAAUCUUCACUUAUUCUUGGUUCGUUGCAUGAAUUGGCCAUACAGGUUCAUUUCUUUCCAUUUGUUUAUUCUGUUGUUCUUCCGUUUCUUUUUGAAUUCUCCUACUGCUUCAGUCACUUUUUAGGUAUCUCUGCUUGCCAAAAGUACUUUUAUAUUAUUCUGCACAAUAUAAUUGUUCAGGCCCAGUGUCACACUACUAACAGUGCCAUCUUCGGUGCUUAGUAAUCCUCUACUACCUCCAUUUCUUGGCAGAUAAAGUCAGUCAGUAUUACUCUUAGGGUGGAGUGCAUUGUUAGGUGCUUUCUAGUUCUUCUAUCCAAGUUCUACGGUUCGAUCUUUGUCCAUUUCAGAAAGGGAGCUGAGUAUCUCUGUACUGGCAUUACCCGUGUAGUUGUGGCUUUAAUGAUGUUCCCUCCAUUUAAUUUUUGUUUCAAGCACCUUCCUACGUCUCCUCUUGUAGUUUUUAGUGACUUCUCUUUCCAUUAUUUUAUUGUCUUGCAGCACUCCUAAGCAUUUGUAUGCCUCAUUAUUCUGCAGUGAUCUAAUUAUGUUGUCCAGUGGUAAUUUUAUGCCAUCAGAAUUUACCUUCCACCCUCUUUUCAUUACUAGCUCUGUGCACUUAUCUACCCCAAACUGCAUUCCAAUAUUUUACUGAAUACUCACACUGUUUGGAUCAGAGGAUUCAGGUCUGCCUCAUCUUUUCUAUGUAUCUUGAGGUCAACCAUAUAAAGUAGGUGAUUUAUUCUUUCUUGGUUUCGGUACACUCAUAGGCAGGCCUGGAUUUUCUUAGUAUAUUUCUCAGGGGGAUUAACGCAAUGAUGAAAAGUAACAAAGAGAGUAAGUCUCCUUGGAAAAUGUGAUCCAUUUGCACAUUUCAGUUUUACUUCCUACACUUUCAAUGCUUUCUCCAAAAAGUUAUCUUCUCAUUGACUCCAAGCAUCCUCAGAUACUCCAAGAGCCAGCUGUGUGGGCCAUUGUAAUAGGCCUUCAUGUAAUCUAUCCAUCCAACAGCGAAAUUCUUCCUCCUUACUCAUACUUCAUUUAAUAUUCUGCUGUCUACAUACAACAGAUCAACAAUUCCCCUUCAUUUCUUCCCACAUGUUUUUUGCUCUUCUGGCAAUAGGUUCUCCUUUUCCAGAAAAUUAUAUACUUCUGCUAUGAGACCAGUUAAUAACUUCCAGAGUAAUGGUAAGCAAGUAAUUAGUCUAUAAUUGCUGUCUCAGCCCUCUCUUUCCUUUGUUCUUCUGUAUCAAAACUGUUCUUCCUUUUAUUAUCCAUGUUGAUGUUUCAUUUUCUAGACACUGACUAAAAAAUAGUCAUGUGUAUAUUUGGGAGGUUUUUGAGCCAGAAACCCUGGGUGCCAUCUGGUGUGGGGAACGGGGGCUUUCCAGUUUGAUAUUAUUAUUAGUAUUAAGGCAGUGAGCUGGCAGAAUUGUUAGCACACUGGACAAAAUGCUUAGCAGUAUUUUGCCCCUUUGCUCCAUUCUGAGUUCAAAUUUUACCAAGGUCAACUUUGCCUUUCAUCCUCUCAGGGUUGAUAAAAUAAGUACCAGUGAAACAGUGGGGUCGAUGUAAUCGACUUGUCCCCUUCCCCAAAACUGCUGCCUUUGUGGCAAAAUUUGAAGGCAUUAUUAUUAUUAUUAUUAUUAUUAGUAGUAGUAGUAGUAGUAGUAGUAGUAGUAGGAGUAAGAGCAGCAGCAGCAGUAGUAGUACUAGUAGUUCACCUUCUUGGCAGAUAUCUACCACAGCUAGCAGCAGAAUGGGGAAUUCUCAGUUAAGUGAAUGAAAAAAAAACCAUAUUAUUUUCAAGAUGUUAGCAAAGCAGUUGCUGGUUGUCAUUGUUAGUCUCACUUAUGAUGUACAAUUUGUCAUUCCAAACAGAUCUAUCUAUAAAAACCUCCACUUCAUGUGAUACAUCAUAAGCAAGGUAAGCAAGGAACUUGAUCAACUUAGCUUAAUCACAUGCCUUCAUUAGAGUUGAUCAUAUUUGGUUGUUGUCCUCAUGGCAGCUGGUUCUGACCCCAUCUUCAGGGGCUGAAUUGUAGCAACAUUUGCUUGGUGGUUGGGCUAAAUGGCCACCCAUCAGAGUCAUUUAGUACCAUGCAUUCAGUCUGUCAUGGUUGUCCCCUCUCAUCGAUAUUGCAAGCAAUUUCCAUUUCCCCAUCGUAGUGUUGAGCACCAAACACACAGAGGAGACUGGCACUACUCUAAGGGAGCAUGAGGUGUUGAACCAAGAAAAAGUCUAGGUUUACAGCUUGGCACCUGGAAAGGCAAGUCCAUGCCAUCUAACAACUUCAUAGAACACUGGGAGAUGGGUAGGUUAAGUUGUUCUAGGUCUGGUUUGGUCCAAAUCUCUAUUUAGACAAGAACUGAGACAAGGUGAUGGACACAUUGACUAGUCUCACUCAGAGAUGGGUUGGAGAGUAAACUAUCCUUGAAAGGUUGAGCAGAGAUGCUGAAUGUCUACAUUGCAUCCAUCGUUUAUUACUGCCUGACCAUUGUGCUGGUCCUACUUCAUGUCUGAACAGACAGCAGCACCUGCUCUUUUACUUUCUGUUGAAAGGGGAUAUGUUCCACAGGUGAGGUGCUUCAUUUGCUGAAUGGAGGACUGGCCAUACUGUAGCUAAUGACACACAGACAUGCAUCAUCUCCAGCAUUUUGUUUACAGUAAACAGGUUGGUCACCAUUUGUCAAUGCAUUUCUCCACAGCUUUUCUCUUUGAUGGAACCUCAGUUCUGGGUCAAGUGAAGACCAAGGGAAGGCACUUGGUAUCUGGAAUGUUAUCAAACACUCACAGUCCUCUACCAGCCAGGCAAUGCAGUUGGUGGAAAUUCCACUUUAGCAUUCUAUAGCGAAUUAGUGGCAGGCAAGUAUGAUGAUGCCCUUGGCAAAAAGCUGGCCAUCAAUGAAAAUCAACAGGCUAGUCUGGUCUGGAGGACUUUCAGUCCAGGACCCAUGGAUAACUUCCAUAAAUCCCUGGCCUUAUUGUGUUACUUGGGGGGGGGGGCGGCAUUACCAGUUCAAGAUAAACUCUAGAGGUUGGGCCUAUCUUUAGAACAGAAAGACCAUUCUGCACACACUUGGUCAGUGCUCAAGCAUUGUUGGCCUUAUUAUGCUAAACGGUGCUAUCUCAUAUAGGAUAAAGCCAGCUAUCAGCUGACUCCAUUGUGGAGAUUGCACCAUCCUUUGACCAGGAAAGCCAGGCAGUCUUUAUCUAUCUGGUCGUCAUGACAAAAGAGAUUGUGUAGUGAAUGAGACUAAAAGAGCUAAAAACAGACACUUUCAUCUUUGAUAAAACUCUAACUUUUUCAGGUUUCAAUAGAAAAGGAAUAUAGAGGUGGAGAGAGAAGUGUUGGCUUUCAUCACAUUUGUUGAAAGCUAGAUGAAAGUGAUGAGUAUGGUCUGAGUCAGUGGGCCUACUCUGAGCAUGCUCUUUUAGGCUGGAGGAGGUUUGAAUGGGGAGGGCAAUUGCCUAAGUGGCCCAGGUGACCAUGCUUUUAUGGUGUUUCCAAAACUAGCCCUCAGGUCUCCCUUCUAUUGAGGAAUUUUCAUUAUUUAAAAUUUCAUUUAUUAUCACCUUGUUAUUUUUGUCAUAAAUCUGUGUUCACAUUUCCAACUCCUCUGUAUUUGUCUUUUUUCAUAUCAAUGUUCUUUGUACAUUUUAUGCAAGCCCUUUUGGCCAAUAAAGAAACAUAACUACUACUACUACUACUACUACUACUACUACUACUACUACUACUACUACCACCACCACCACCACCACCACCACCACCAUUACUACUAAGGCAAGCUGGCAGAAUUGUUAGCACACUGAGCAAAAUGCUUAUCAGCAUUUCUUCCGUCUUUACAUUCUGAGUUCAAAUUCUGCUAAAGUCAACUUUGCCUUCUCUUCCUUUCAGAGUCGAUAAAAUAAGUACAUGUCAAGUACUGGAGUUGUAAUUGAUAACUAUUCCCCUCCCCUCAGAAAUUUGAAGGUGGUGAGCUGGCAGAUUAAAUUUUGUCUAUCUUUAUGUUCUGAAUUAAAAUUUUACCAAGUUUGACUUUGCCUCUCACCCAUUCUGGGUCAAUAAAGUAGCAGUUGAGCACUGGGGGCAAUAUAAUUGACUAGGCCCCCCACCCACAAAUUUCAGGCCUUGUGCCUUUAGUAGAAAGUAUUAUUAUUAUUAUUAUCAUUAUUAUUAAGGCAGUGAGCUGGCAGACUCAUUAGCACACCGGGUGAAAUGUUUAGUGAGAUUUCAUCUGUCACUACAUUCCAAGUUCAAAUAUUGCCAAGGUCAACUUUGCCUUCCAUCCUUUCUGGGUCAAUAAAAUAAAGUACCAGUGAAACACUGGGGUUGAUGUAAUCGACUAUACCCUCCUCACAAAUUUCAGUCUUUGUGACUAUAUCAGAAAGGAUCAUCAUCAUCACCACCACCGCCGCCGCCGCCACCAUCAUCAUCAUUAUUAUUAUUAUUAUUAUUAUUAUUAUUAUUAAAGUGGUGAGCUGGCAGAAUCAUUAGCAUGCAGGGCAAAAUGCUUGGUGGCAUUUUAUCCAUCUACAUUCUGAGUUCAAAUUCCACUGAAGUCGAUUUUGCCUUUCAUCCUCUCAGGGUCAAUAAAAUAUGUACCAGUCAUGUACUGGGGGGUUCCAUGUAAUCAACUUAUCCCUCUCCAAAAUUGCUGGCCUUGUGCCAAAAUUUGAAACCAUUACUACUAUUAUUAUUUCAUUUUAUUUUGUUACUAGGAUCUAUUUAUAGAUACAAUAAUGUUACCAAACCUGCUACAAAAAUGUGUAGGGAUAGAUGUAGAGUCUGACAUAAAAUGGGGGCAGGCGCAAAAGGCAUCAUUCAAUGUGUUUUAAGUAUCUUACAUAUUUUGCGAUUUGAAGAUGUGUCUGUUCUGUUGUGUAGAGCAGAUGAUAGCCGUGUACGUUUGCACCGUUUCUGUUGUCUAUUUAAUCGCUUGUAAGUAUAUAUAUUGAAACAAUACCUAAUUCUGUUUUCAUCUAAGGAAGAUCUUGUUUCCCCUAAACUUUUUGACAUCUUAUAGUCUCCUACAUUUUAUUUUCAACAGUCUUUCAGCUCCACCACAUCACAGUCUGACCUUUACUACUUCAUUGCAAACAAUUUUAAUUAUAUCAAACAUGAGUUUUAUAUUUAUACAAUGGCAUUAAUACUUCACAUAAUCACAAAUAUUUAUCAAAUGAUUGUUUGACUUCAUCAUUUUAGGGUCUGCCAUUCUAGCCUUGCUAUUUGUUUCAGUUCAAACUGCAUCAAACCAUGUUAUUUUGUUAUGUCUCUGUAUAUCAACUUUCUCCUCCUCUUUUCUACGACUGAUAUUUAAGAAGGCAACAGCAACAACAAACUCAAAUAUUUCACAACUUUCUCUUCUUUACACAAUAAUUAAAUUACUAUUCAACAUUCUUUAUAAUUAUAUGUCCCCAUUGUGUUAUAGCAAAUGUACUCUACUCCCUCCCUCUCUCUCCUCCUCCUCUCUCUCUUGUACUUCUUUUUCCAGCAAUUUCAUGACAACUAGUGCUGUUUAUGUCCUUUCUUUUUCUUUCUAUUUUAGAUUAGCCAAGUUAGUGGUAACAAUGUCAGAGUAACUUAAUAUGCAGUCACUCCUCCACUUACAAUACAAGAUGCUUGCAUUAAAAUACUCCUGAGCCAACCAACGGCCCAUGUUUCCAAAAA